UCGCUGCUGCUUGUUGUUGCCAUUUCCAAAAUGCGGGAAUUCACGACUAGUUCACUGCCAGUACUAAACAAAUUACUGCUGUCAUCGAUUGAGGAGCCUUUCAGAGGAGUCACCAUGUCAACUUCUUUCUCAGUUUGAGCUCCUAUGACAUACUCUUCUACACUCUCUUGCAGUUGCAAUGCAAACUCAAGGCCCCAAACCACAUCGGUCAUCGAUGGCCUUUCGAUUCCAUUCUCGAGCAAGCAUCUCACUGCAACAUCAACAAAGUUUUUCAGACAAUCUGGUGAGAUCUUUCCAUCCAGAUACGGAUCAAUGAUUUCAUUAAUCGUUCCGUUGCUGUGGCUUUGUCUAGCCAACUCUGCUAGACUUGCUGGCACUGCUGAUCGGUUUAUUGCUGGUCUAGCACACAAUACCUCGAACAACACAACCCCAAAUGAGUAGACAUCAGAUUUUUCUGUCAAUUGCUGGCGUUGACAAUAUUCGGGAUCCAAGUACCCUAUGCUACCUUUCACAACGGUGCUCACGUGGCCCUUCGAUGUGCUCGUAGGACCUGUUUUGGACAAUCCGAAAUCCGAAACUUUGGCCACCCAUUUCUCAUCCAGCAAGAUAUUUGUUGUCUUCACAUCACGAUGAAUGACAGUGUGCUUGGCACCUGUGUGAAGGUAAUCCAACCCACGGGCAGCACCUAUAUGCAAAUCUCUAGGCGCUGAGUCCAUGAAAGUGGAGGAUUAUCAGUUCUGUAGAGAUGAUCACGAAGCGUCCCCCGAGCCAUAUAAUCAUACACCAGGAUCAUCUCAUUAUUAUCAUUACAGUAACCAAUUAGAGAAACCAAAUGGCGGAAUCUAAGCUGGGAGAGCAUCUCAAUCUCUGUCCUGAACUCGGUUGCACCCUGCCGCGAACUUGGAUUCAAUCGCUUGAUCGCAGCACGAUUGACUCCACCAUCAAAUAAUCCUUUGUACACGUUACCAAAGCCACCAACACCAAUAAUGAAGGAAUCGUCGAAGUUGUUUGUAGCUGCUAUGAUCUCAACUAGCGAGAAACGGUAGCAUAGAUCAGAAGGGAGAGAUGGCCUAUGGGUCUUUGUUGAGUUUCUUGAAGAGGAAACAAGAGGGCUUAUGUGUUUGAAGCUGCAUCACCAGAAACCAAGUCCUUGAAUUUUCGGACUCUUCUCCGGAAAAUCAAGAGAAAUAGAACUGAGACGACAACAAUGCCCGAAACAGCAGCACCAAUAAUGGCGACUGUUCUUCUUCGACUAUGCUUUGGCUUUGUUGAGGUCGCGCUAGGAGUAUUACUAGCGGGGCUGUCCGGAAACGCGUCAGGAUUUGGUCCGGCAAGAUUGUCUGAUUUGCUCAAUUUGAAGAUUUCAGCUCCAUUCAACAUUGCAUCAAAGGCUUUAGCAGACUCAAUAGGGUGCAAUGCAAUCGACAAAUUCUGUAUCCCUUCGUUUCCUCCGGCAUCCAUCAUCACGACGUAAUCUUUGUAUAUGGGAACCCCAUAUCCAUCAGCCCAAGAUAUUAUAUCUGCGUUACGCUCUGCCGUUUGAUUAGCGAUAUAUAUUUGAAAGAUCAUAUCGUUUUUUUGCGAUAGAAUCGGCAUAAACUGACAGAAAUGAAGCCUAACAAGAUAGGUGAAUGUGGAGUGGACCGGAAACUCCCAAGUCAUAUUGUAUUUCUCAUUUACAGUAGAAUCGUUCCCCAUGGUCCUAGCAGUUCGAUAGAGGACGUCAGGUGCAGCAUAGCGAGUGUGGUUAUACUGAAGUUGAAUAGUGUCAUUAUAUAACACAGCGCUUGGUCGAGCAUCCGUCAAGUAAUCAACAUCGCGUAACCAACUUCGAAACAUGCCAUUGUCGUCGGGCGGUGGGAUAUCUUUCCAACCCACGUUUACUCGGUACAUGAUCUCUAAAGCAGUUUCAUUUUGAAGGGGAAGAUAGACCCCCUGGUCAAAAUUAUACAGCUCUGGGUUAUCUCCUGCAGUGUAAUAAAGAUUGGUGGGCAUGGAUACGAUUUCAAUCCCGUUGAUGAAAGCAUAUGCAUCAGCUACAUGAGGGCUUGGCGUGAACGUUAUGCUCAGAUUUUUCUGCUCAUCUUCAACAUUUAAGAUGAAUUCUCUGGCGUAACCUCGUUCACCAAGAGGGUCAGUGUAAUGGAAGCCACUGAAGUUGCUAAGAAAGGUAUAGCGACGGGUUGUGACAGAAAAAGAUGCUUUAGACCUAUUGAGACCAGUGUAGGAAGCUGGAUUGAAAUAGAGGCGAACAAACUUAGGUCCCGUUGUAUUGACACGAAACGUGUAGGUGAAUUUGGAGAGAGAGACGCGAGCAGUAUAAUAAGGUACAGAGCUAGUGGAGGCUCCAUUUGCUGUGGAAUUUGUUGAGGGGCCGUCUUGAUCUAGAAGGGCCACUCUUGAGUUGAUGUCUGCAGUCCAGUUUCUAGCGUUUCCAAUACUAUCGGAGGAUGAACCACAAUCAAGCGCUAUGCUAUCGAGGGGGACGUAAGGUGGUGGUGGAUCCCCGGUUACAAGGAUGGUGAGAUGGAGGAACAGGAAGGAGAGGUGCAGAGGAGUGAAGAGAGAUAAGCUUGUGAGAGAGAGAGAUUUGCUGCUGCUGCUACUCAUUUUGUUUUUGGCCAGAGGAGGAGAGAUGAAGAAAUCAAGAGGAGAAGCUCCUUUUAAUUAAAUGCUGAGAGGAGUUCAAGUCAUGCUAUAGUUGACUGAUUCUUUUUUUUAUUUAUUUCUUAUGUAAAAUCGUUUUCAAGUAUCAGUAAUUAUAAAAGUCUCAUGGAGUAGUAUCAAUGUAGCAUUUGGCAAAGGGACAAUAUAUGAAAACCUUUGAAAGGUCUUUGAUAGUACAAGUGGGGUAUGAAGGACUUCCAAGUCGUUGGUUGUAUUCUAUCAACUUUAGAGAUUUCCGUGUUUUUAGAUUUUUCCAUUUGAUUAGAUUGAAUAAAAAUCCAUCAAUUUCUUAUUUGAUAUAUAUUUUUCUUUAUUUUUCUUUUAGGAAUAUAUAAUCUUUAAAGAUGUUGCUUAAUUGAAGCAAUUUGGUAUUCCUUUAUAUUAAAAGCAAUCUUGGAUAAUUUCAUGAUCAAAAUAAUAUAUUUGUAUAAACAUUUUAGAAUUAUUAAAGAUUUACAUAAUGAUUAACUUUAAAAUUCGUGUUAAUUAAAAAAAUAAUCCAAAUAAUCUAAAUAUAAUCCAAUGUAUAAUAGAACUAAAACUAAAAUAAACUAAUAAUAGAACAAAAAAAAGAAAUAAAUUGACAACUAAAUAUUUGAAAAUAAAAUAAAAUAGUGAUAAGUUUUAACAAUGUAUAUUUAAUAAUAAAAACACUGUUGAAGACUAGUAAAACACCUAACUUGAUAAAAUAUGAUUGAUCAUUGGUUACCACAGUUUAUCAAUAUUGUCAAAUAUAUUUUGACAAAUCUUUUUUUUAGGGUUGAGUAAAAAAUUAAUUAAAUCGAGAAAAAUAAUAAUAAUAAUUAAAACAACCGAACCGUGAAAAAAAAAUCAAUUAAACCACUUAGAAUAGUUAAAAAACUAACAUGUUCGAUUCGGUUUCAGUUUUAUAAGCCUGAAAAAUAAAAGCCAAACCGAACUGAAAAUAAUAACCGACCCAAACAGAAAAAAAUCGAGCCAAACCAAAACCACACCCAUUAGAAAUUACCAAAAAAAAAUAUAGUUUUUUAUUUUUAAUAUAAAAUAACCAAACCAAACCUGAACCCAAACCGAACUGAAACCAAUCGAUUGAGUUUUGAUUUUUUUUCUAAAAUAACCGAACUUAAUCGAAACCGGUCGGUUUGAACUGAUUUUCGGUUUGUUUUUUUUUAAUUUGAUUUAAUUAUUUUUUUUAUUUGAUCUUUGAAAUUUGUUAGCACAUUCAAAUAUUUCCAGCUUGAAAGAAAAGGGAAGUUGAUUCGAAAAAUAUAAAAAAGGAAGAAGAAAUAAUAGGGAAUAGGAUGUCGCCGUCGAGUGGCCAAAUAAAAAGAAAAAUCGGUUCAGAUCAAUGUUGAUUGUGCUACUGACGCCCUGGUGGUGCAGUGAAUCCUCAAAACUUAUGGUGGAGACUUUCUUUCUGGAGUUCAUGCUGUUGUACUUAAUUAUCAAACAAGUAGAUAGAUUGCCGUUGGGGAAAAGUUCAUUAUGCAAAAAUACGAUUGGUUGAACAAAAAAAAAUAUAAAGGGUCAAUUUUUAAAAUAGGAUGCCCACUCCACCAUAUACAAGUCGUUGGCAAAGUUUCAUGUAAAUAUCCAAUGCACGUUAUAAGGCAGCAAACAGAGUGGACCUAUUGGCCAUGGAAGAAGACCUUUGAAAGGUCCUCUGUAUUGUGUAGUCGUUAUCUGGACACCAAAAACAGUUGAUAUUUAGAUUUUUUUUUUUUGCCGUGAGUUAGAUAUUUUCUUUUAACAAAACAUUUUAUAUAUAGAUUUUUUUCAACUUUUUAUAUUUAAAAAAUUCUAAGUGAAAAUCAAAAAAUUUAUACAUACAUAAAAUUAAAUAAAUUGAGAAUUAUGUGUGUUAUUAAGUGAAAAAAAAACUAUAAACAAUAAAUAAAAAUAAAACUGGAAAAAUCAAGAAAGAGAAGUAGAUUAAGAUAUUUAAUUUUAUAAGAAGAGAUAUUUAUAUGAUUGUGUUUGCUAAAUUUAUUGAUUAAAAUAAAUUUUUUAUUCAAUUAAACGAUAAUAGAAAUAAAUACACACACUUUAAAAAUAGUUAUUGUAUCUUUAGCUUCAUGGUAUUUUCCGCAUUCCUUUAUAUGGGUUUCUCUCGAUCUCAUAUCACAGGUCUUAGAUUUUUUAUGGUAUUUUUUAAUUUUUUUUAUUUCUUCAUUUGAAAUUACAUUAUUUGGUCUUGAACUUUUUUAUUUUUUUUAUUUUUCUUUAUAUAGGGUUAUCUUAGAUCACAAGUUUGUCAAGUUAACAUAGAUUAACUUUUGUUUUUUUUAUAUAUAUUCCUUUUAUUUUACUUUGAUCUUUUUGUCUAUGUGCUUUUAAUUUAAAAUAAUUUUUUUUUAUCUCGAUCACAUUCUGUGGAUUGCGAGUUAGUUAAAUAAACCUCAACUGACUCAAUUUUUUUUUAUAUUUGUUUUUUUUAAAUGAAUUUUUAUUUCAAUUUAAUUCUUUGACAUUAGAUUGUUAGGCUAUGAUUUUAUGAUUUUAUGAUUUUUCUCACUUUUCUUUAUGUGAGGUUGACCCGAGUCAUAAGUUAGUCAAGUUAACCGGGUGAACUCAAUUGUUUUCUUGGCAUUUUAUUUAUUGAUUUAACUUCAGUUUUUUUUUAAUUAUUAUUUUUUAUUUUAAUCUCAUAUCAAGGGUAGUUGACUCGUGUUUUUUCUUUGACUUUUCUAGUUUUGAAUUUUAAUUUUCCAGUUUUAUCUUUUGACAUUAGAUUAUUGAGCCUUAAGUUUUAUUAUUUGUUUUUUGUUUUCUUUUCUCUAGUGUUCCUAAUUUUUUAUUAUUCUGGAUAAUGGGUUAGUUAAGCUAACCAAACUUAACUUAGGCUAUCAUUGCCUGGAUAUUUGUUUUGACGUAACGUGGAUCGUUGUAUUAGUAAAAUAAAAGAGAGAAAUGAAUACCAAAUUCUUUUAUUUGACAUGCAUAUAUAUAUAUAUAUAUAUAUAUUGGAGACCAAAAGUAAGUUUGACAUAUUCAUGAUGAAUAAAAAUACAAAAUUAGAUUAAUUAAAAUAUUAUUAGUUUAGUUAUAUAAACAUUACGUAAAAUUUGAUGUCAUUCAUCAACACAAAAGAAGAAGAAGAAGAAGAAGAAGAAGCUAAAAUGUUGGUAGAGAUUAGAAAUGCUAUUUUUCUUGACAACACAAACUAUUUUUUUAAUAAAAAAAUUCAUAUGAAUUUAUGAUUCACAUAUGUAAUUUUUUUUGCUCAUUAAAUUCUGCUGUGUUUCCUAUAAUAUUGUUACUGUCCUUACAGUUCUCUCCCGCAUCAACAAUGCUUUGAGUUGGCUAAUUAUUAUUUUUUAUUUCAUAUUAAGUAUAAACAGGCAGGUAUUGAAAGGGAAAUUAAGAAUUAUGCAGAAUAUAACAAAAAAUAAAAGGUCAAUUUUUAAAAUAGGAUGCCCACUCCGGCAUGGAAACUGGAAUAUGAAAGGCAAAUACAUGUUGUUGGCAAAGUUCCAAGCCUUCGAAAUGUCGAAUGCACGUUAUGAGGCAACAAAUAGAGUGGACCAAUUGGAAAUGGAAUAAGUGACCUUGAAAGGUCUUCUGUGUUGUGUAGUAAGUGACCUUUGAAAAGCAUCAAAGACUUCCAAGUCGUUGGCGUUAUGCAAUUAAUAAUUCAACAUUAAAAAAAAUCCGCACUUUCCAAGAAAAUUAACUUUUAAGACAUCAUAAUCAGACUUCUGUAUAUUUACUUGGAAUUGUUUUUUUUUUUUUUUAAAAAAAAACAAAUUAUGGAAAUAUAUUGGUAACGUUCUAGAAAUGAAACGGCAGAAUUUUCGUCCUUAACAUGUGGACUUUUCUUUAUUGAUUUUCAUAAAUUUAGAUAUAACUAGCAAAUUCACGUUGUUUUAUCUUAUUAAUAUAUACAAUCAUUUUAAUUCUUAUUUAAUAUUUUUUUUCUUAUUUUCUCUACAAUAUCACAUGAUAAUUUUUAAUUCAAUCAAUAUUUUUACUCUUUAAUAAUUUUUCUAUAAUUCAUAAGAUGAUAGUAUUAUAAGCUGAAAUCUUCAAGUAUCAAUCUCAUGAGUAUCAAUAAUAAGAAGAAUUGUUUUUAUAAUUAGUAAUUAAUUAUAAAACUACUAGAAUUUUUAGAUUUAAUGAUGAAAUUUUAUGUUAAUAUUUAUACUCACAAUCUAUCGACACAAAUUUUCUCGACGCAAUUAGAAAUAAUCCGUCAGAAAAACUCUGGUCGUUGAUUUGUGAUCUGUCAGUAAUAAUUUUACCGAGGGAUUUAUUGACGGAAAAAACAUGUAAAAAAAAAAUUAACUAUUUUAUUCCAUCAACAUUUUCAUCGAUGAAUAUAAUAUAUCAUCGACAGAAAAACCAUAAAUCAUUCCAUUGGUGAUUUUUAUUUUUUCGUUAGUAUUUUCUUUGGUGAAUUUAACAUAUAACCAUCAAACAGACUAUUUGUUAUUCAGUCGAUGAGUAAAUAGUGGUAGUGAUACUUGUAGUAAUUCUUUUCCAGCUCUCUAGAAUAUAUCGACGACCUAAGUUCGUUGGUAAUUACCCUGUCAAUAAUAAUUUAGAAUCUUUUUAAAAAAACAUUAAAAAAAUUGAAAAUCAGUGGCAUUUGCAGUAAUUAAUCAUUUUACAAAUCUUCAUUACAAUCUUCUAUGUUGAUUUCAUCGCAAUCAUCAUCUUCAUCGAUUUAUGUAUGUUUAUUUUUCUUAAAACAUCAUUUAACUCCUUAAUGUUAAUAUCAAUCAAAAUAUUCUCGGCAACAUGAAAAUUUGAGUUUUCUUCUAAGUCAUUAGAUGAAGUAGCUCAAUAUGGAACAAUUAACUCAUCAAGUUAAAAGACAUCAUCUUUGUUGUUAUCUUGAACAACUUAGACACGACCCUGAGUUUGAUUUUCAUUACAGAUAAUCAAUCAACUCUUAACGAUUAUUUCUAGAAAAAAAAGGAGUGUAUGUAUCAUAAUUUUAUUGGCAUUGCUUGGUGAAAACAUGUUAUUGAGUCUAACCUUUGUAUUAAUUUGAUCAAUUAUAAAUUUGAACAAUUAUUUGUGUAUAAAUAAUAAUUAGUAAUAAAUUAAUUUCUGAAUGUAUUUUGCAUUUUCUUUUCUCAUGUAUUUACAAUUAACGAUAGAAAUCCUCUUUUAGAAAAAUAAUAUUGUUUGCAGUUCUUAUAACGUUAGUAAUAAUAUCUAAGAUUUUUAUUAAUUGACUUUAUUAUUUUUUCACAGGUGAAAUAUUCUUUAUAGAUUAUUUUAAAGUUAAGAAAAAAAUAGACCAACGUCUUGUAUUUUAUUUGAAUCUGAGUAUGCACGUCAAAUACAGAUUUUGAAAAUCGAAUCUUGUUCUUAUAUGAACAAUAAAAUUUGGUUUUAACAUAUUGAGGAUUUUUGGGGAAAAAGUCAGCUUUUGUAUUUUGUAGAGUUGAUUGCAUAGACACAACAAGAAUUCACAGUUUUACCGAUGAAAAUAUUCUGUCGGUCUGUGAUUGAUAGUACAUCGGUAAAAUAUUUACCGACGGAAUACGUCCAUCGGCUUACCGUUCGUCGAUGAUUCCCUAUUCCAUCGCUAUAUCGGUCGGCAAAACAAAAAAAUAAUUUACCGACGGUUUUACAGACGGAAUUUGCGCGCCAAAAAAAAAAAAAAUUCCCGCUUCAAUAAUACCGACGGAUUGUUAUUCCGUCGGUGAUACCGACGGUUAAUGUCCGUCGGUAACUUAGUCGGUGAAUUGUUGACAUACCGACAGAAUAUAUUGUCUGUGAAUUCGUCGGUAAUAUAUAAUACCGACGGAAUUAAUCUGUCGGUAAAUCUGUUGGUAAGACAUGAAAACACCGACCGGAUUUAUCCGUCUGGAAAUUUGUCGGUGAUGGUCGCGGCUACUGUCUAAUGCCGACGGAUUUAUUCCGUUGGUAAAUCCCUUUGUAAUUGUUUUUUAUUUUAUUUUUUUAUAAUUAUUUAGAAUACAUAAUAUAAAAUGAUAUAAAUUAAUGGUAAUAAAAACUAAUUAUGCAAAUAAAAUUUAUAUUAAGCAUCAAAAACAAAAAAUGUAAGAUAAAUAAUAUUCAUUACAAAAUGAAAUUGUUCAAAAAAACAUUAAAUGAAAUUUUAAAUGUAAAUAAUGUUUAUCAAAAAUUAAUAUAAAGGAGGUUGAGGAGGAUCAGGAGGAGGAGAAGGCUGGCUGUUAUGCGGCCAACUUGGAUUGGGUGCACAUGUUCCACCUUGUGACAUGUUUAUGACCAUUUGACGAAGCUCUUCAUAGGCCGCUCUUUGUUGUGCAGAUUCUGCUGUGUAUUGUUCUUUGAGUUGUGUGUACGCCUCUGAUAUUGGUCGCACCUUUGCUGCAAGGCCACGAACUCCUUAGAUUGGGAGCUCGAUACUGAUUGGAGCUCCGACGGUUGAAGCAGUACGGGUCGUCCGCAAGUUGUCGGCCCUAGUGUUGGAGAGCCCGUAAACCCAUUCUUAUCGGGUCCACCUGACGAUCCAGCCUCCAUCCAUAAAUCCGGAUCAAUUCCGGAUGGGUCGAAGGAUCGUCCCCGUAUGUCUCCCUCAACAUUAUUAUAGGUCUCCUGAAAAUAAAAAAAAGUAAUAAUCAUAUUCAAUUCAAUAAACAUAAUAAUAACUUACAAAAUAAAAAUGGAUGAAUGAAUAAACAUACCACAAAAGUGGCGCGACUGUCAACGAACUGUUGCACCCCUUUGGCGGUCUUGACUCCGCACGUGCGUCUCCACAAACAACCCAUAGGGCUCGGCUCACGUCCAAGAGACGUAGCCUAUAAUGAAAAAAAUUUUAUUAACAACAAAUUAAUUGAACGAUAUAUUUCAUUUAAAAAAUCUUACCAUCCGUUUGCAUGUGCAGCAAACGGAACGGAGCCGCCGGUGUGCGUUGUCACCGAGCCAUGAAUUGGCCGAUUUCAGUUGCCAGCACCGACUGUGAGUGUCCUGCAAAGAUAGUGCGGCCAUAUAUCCUCCGGGAUGUAUUCGGUUUGAAAUCCCUCCAAACUGCAACAUCGUUCCAGCCUUGAACCCCCUAUCCCUCGCAGUUUUUUGCCUUUUUUGGGCUUCGUACCAAAAUCACGCAACCUACUUAAACGCAAUAAAAAAUUACAUUUCGAAACAUAAAUUUUUUGUAAAAAAAAGUUGUAUUGUUUUCGAUGUUACCUAGUUGCCGCGUGAUUUUCCCACACCCUCCUCACAACAUUGUUAUGUUCGUCGUCCCAGCAGAAUCGAUUCUGUGUAUAACAAAUAAUUUUUAAAAAUGUUAAUAAUUUAUUUACAAUUAUAUUAAGAAUUUAUUAGAAAUAAGCUGAAAAUUAUAUAUUAACACGAACCUCAAAUCUGGAAAACCAUGCAUUGAUUUGAGGCAUUCAUUCAGGAUGUCUGGAUAUCUGACUCCAUUGAAACAAUGGAAUCUUCAUCGACGCUUUAAACGCCGAUGAUAUUACUCGGGCGGCCUCAAUGUUUGCGAACCUGAAAAGAAUUGAAAUUAAUUAAAUAGUGAGUUCAUAAAUUUUAUUUUUUUUUUAAAAAAAAUUAAAACCUUAACAAACUUACAUUGAAAGAUCGUCCUUCCAUUGUGCCUCAUACUUGCGGCUAAAUCGAUUCCGUUGCGAAGGCAGGCCGCUUCUGCGAUGUGAAGCAGUGCUGGAAGAGGCAGCAUCAGCUGACGGCGCAAGUGGUGUAGGUGCCUCUUCUUGAGAGGCACCUAAGGAAAUGUCUUCGUCGCUGCUAGACGAACUUGAUGCGACCGGACGUGAAGCUCUGGAUUUCAUUCUCUGCAUCUAACCAAUUUUAUAUAAAUAAAUAUAUAAUUCAAUUGAAAUGUUAAAAAAAAUUCGGCAGCACCUCCCCCAUACUUGGAUACUACCCAAAUCCACAAAUCAAUUGACAACAAAACUAUAAAUUCAAAAUAAAUAUAAACAAUUAAACACAAAUCAUCAGGUUAGAGUAAAAUUAAUAAUUCUUCCAACAUAUUCAAUUACUAAAUCUAAGAUAAAUUCAACAUUAACAAUAUUAAUUCAACAAAUUAUUAAAUAUUCAUUAUGGCAAUACAACAAUAAAAUUAUUCUAAAGUAAAUUCAACAUUAACAAUAUUAAUUCAACAAAUUAAUCAAUAAUUAUAUAUGGCAAUACAACAAUAAAUUAUAUUCAAUAAAUUAAAAAAAAUAUAAACUAACAAUUAAAAUCAAUGGAAAUAAUUAAAUACAUAUCAUGCAAUAAUAGAGUAAAAUUACUAAUUAUUCUAACAUAGUCAAUUACUAAUUCUAAGUUAGAUUCAACUUUAACAACAAACAUCCAAUAAAUUAACUAAUACCAAUUAUAACAACACAACUCAAAAAAAUAUUCAAAAAAAAAACCUACAUCAAUAAAAGGAACGAAAUAUACAUACCUUAAUAAUAUGUCCAAUUCAAAACUUUAUCUACAUUACAAAAAAAUACACCAAAACAAAAAAAUAACAAAAAUAAAAACAACUACAACUAAAAUAAAAGAAAAUAGAAAAAACCACAUACCUUUAUUCAAAUCUUGCAAGAGAUUCAAGGUGAAAGCCUUGAAGGAUUGAGAGUAAAAAGCUGAAAAUUUGCUUGUCCGGAGGAGCAGAAAAACAGAGGAGAAGAAAAAAUGAGGGGAAGCGGCGGGCGUUGGAAGUUAUAUGUUAUAUGGCAGAUUUACUGACGGAUAUUAAAAAAAUAUUAUGAAUUUCACACCGAAUUUUUUAAUUGCCCUCCAAAAUUUUCGCGGUCCGUCGGUGAUUCCGUCGGUAAUCUGACACGGUCAGAGGUGCAUUCAAUUCACACCCUUUGGAAUUCACGCAGUCCGUUGGUAUUUUGGUCGGUAAAAUUUGCCCACCGACAACUUACCGACGGACAAAUUUCGUCGGUAUAGACGUCGAUAUAUUCGUCGGUAUGGACGUCGGUGAUUGUGGCAUUUCGGCGUAAUUAUUUUCGAACUCUCUGUGAGAUGCCGACGGACCUCAGUCCGUCGGUAUGGACGUCGGUGAUUGUGGCAUUUCGGUGUAAUUAUUUUUGAACUCUCUGUGAGAUGCCGACGGACCUCAGUCCGUCAGUAUCGACGUCGGUGAUUGUUCAAUGUACAAGAGUUAUUGUGUUUGUAUUUUCUAUUUACCUUCCUGCAAAAAAUUCAAUGAUAAAUUGUCCAUCGCACAAAACAAUAGCAACAGUGCUCAAACAAUAAAUAUAUAUUUCAUGUUACAAAAUAUAUCAUCCAUAAUGUAAAUUACAUGAAGAAAAAGGUUUUACACAGGGCUUCGUUUUGAUAGUUAGUCAGAAUUAUCUUCUUCUUCGUCAUCAAUUGAAUUGUCAUCACCUUCAUCGCAAUCUUCAAUAUAGAUAUCAUCUUUUUCAUCGACAUUUGCUUGUCCGCUAGAGCUCAAAACAACGUUCAACUCCUCUACGUCAACAUCAACAAGACUAUCAUUGGAAACAUGAAAAUUUGAAUUUUCUUCCAAUUCAAUCGAAGGAGCAACUCGAUAUGGUUCAACCAACUCACUAACUUGAAAGACUUCAUCCCGCACACUUGUUUCCUCGUUCUCAUCCUGAACAACCUCGACACGACCCCAUGGUUUCGUUUUUAAAACGGACAACCAAUCAACUCUUGAUCGAUCCUUUCUAAAUGAAGGGGUGUAUGUGUAAUAAACUUGUUGACAUUGCUUUGCGAAAACAAAGACAUCGUUUAUGUUGCGAAGUCUAGCUUUUGAGUUGAUUUCGACCAGACCAUGGUGCUUAUCAACUCUGAUUCCACUGUCCGUCGUGUCAUACCAAUAGCAUUUGAAUAAAAACACUGUAUUCUGCUCGCUAUGAUAUUGUAGUUCGACGACCUCUUCUAAUCUACCAUAGUAGUCAACUUCUAACUCACUACUUGUGGAUCCUUUAACACAAACACCGUAGUUGUAUGUCUUUCUUCCUUCAUAACCAUGUUUCUGUAAGGAUUAGUGUUGUCAUUUGCCGCUUCAUGCACGUUGCUAGCACUAGAAGUUGACCCAACCACCGUUUCUCUCAUUCUCCUAUUACUAACAAAUACCUCUCUAUGUGCAUACCAACACUGUUAAUCCUCCAGAAACCCUUUAUGUAGAAGAUGCAUCAUUACAACAUCUGGAUGCAGAUACUUUUUAUUUUGACACUUCCUGCAUGGACACUGUUGCUACCCAUUUUUUUGACCCAUGUUUUUGAUAUAUUUUCAAAAAAAUCCAAAAAUAGAGAAAAACAAAGAAAAUCCAAAAAAAUAUAUUUUUUAAUAUAUUUUCGUCAUUUUAGCAUUUCCAACGUCGUUUAAAAAAAAUAAUUUUAAGUGUCUUUCAAACGCAUUCGACUUUUCACGCGUCAUUUUUAAAAUCGUUGAUUUUUCUCAUCGAGUCGACGUUGAUAUUGCUCGUUUUAAAAAAAAAUACAAAAAAAUAAGAAAAAGUCAAAAUUUACAAAAAAGAAAGAAGUUGAGGGACCAAGUUUGAAAACUUGGCAACAUUUUUGCCUAUAAAUACUGGUUUCCAACACUUGCAAGAAAGGGGGGGGCUAAUUUUGGAAACACCAAAAAUACAAAAAGAAAACCCUAAGUCUAUCUCUAACAAGAGAGCCGCCGGCCACCCCUCUGGGUUUUUUGAUCUUCUCCUCACAGCUACCUCUGAGCCGGCUAAACAAAAAAAAAAACCAAGCUCUCUUUUUCCCCAAAACCGAACAGCCCCCCUUUUCACGGCAGUUCCCCCCAUUUUCUUCUCCUUUUUCAGCCGGAUCCCAGCCUCUCUCCGACAGACACCCAUCUCCCCUCAACCCAAAAAUGCAGCCGGCCCCUCCACCGGUUUUGAAUUUUUUCUCCACCCCUCCGGAGCCGAUUCCUUUUCUUCCCAUUCUUCUCCCUCACCGGACCCAAACCAGUUGGCCAAGACAGCUCCCUCAUCCCCCUCUCAGCCGUUCCUUUUCUUCUUCUCCAUCAGCGACCAAACCAGGCUCUCCGACGCUUCCCCCGUCAGCAGCCUCUUCUUCGGCGGUUCCUUCAACAACAACGGCGAAGCAGCACCGAGAACUAGCCGUCCUCACCGAAGGCCCAGCGACCACCUGAUCCCUGUCAUCUCCUCCUCUCAACAGCAGCAACCUCUUCAUCUCCUUCAACCAGCAGAGUUGCGCCUCUACCAUCGGAGAGCCACACCCGUCUCCACCGCGGCUUCAGCGGCCACAGGCGAUCUACCCGAUCCAGCGGGUAACCGACCGCACGAGCCGCCCGGUGAGCCACCCAACACCCACAACAGAUCUGCUACCCGAAGAAGAAAGAGAGAGAAGCAGAUCUAAACAGAUCUAAGGAGGGAGUCAAUUGUGUUGUCUGUUGUUGUUGCGUUUUUUUUUGCAGGUCACAACCUCGUCGCCAGCGAAAAGAGGAAGAAGAGAGGAAGACGUGACUGACCCCCCCUAUUUUUCGGUGUUCGGUGGCGCGUGGGGAGACGCGCCGCCACUUUCCUGCUGCCCAUGAUUCUUCACAGCACCGUUUCCAGCAAUUCUAGGAGGCUUUGAGGGGCUAUUUUGUAAAAUUUAAAAUUGUUGAUGUAUUUUUUUAUUUAGCAUUUGAUUUUUUUUUUUUUUUUGUACUUUGUAAAUAUGGAUGUAAAAGAAAAGGAAAAGAAAAGAAAAGAAACAAAAAUAGUGAAAGUGUAUGAAUGUGAUUGUAUUUUGUUUUAUUUAUUUGUAUAUAUUUUUUUAAUGAUAAAAUUGCAAAUAUAUUAAAGAAGAAUUUAAUAUUUUGAUCGGAUCACGGUUAAGAAUUAUUAACUUAUACGUAAGUGAUAUUUCUAAUUUCCGAUGAAAAGACAAUUAUUAAAACUUCUUUAACACAUCAAAUUCACGAAGCAGCUUACCUCAGGUAGGGUGCGUUAGGGGUGCUAAUACCUUCCCUAACCACAACCAGUCCCUUACCCGCGAAUCUUUGACAAGACCAGUACAUCCGGUUUCCUAGUAGCCCGCAAUCAAUUACUAGGUGGCGACUCCAACGAACCAAAUUCAAGCAAACGCAACAACGAGACUUAAAUCGCCAGCCGAUGCCGGCGCCAGAUUUUUUUGGGGUGCGACAGACACCUAAUACCGCCUCCAGUAAAAUUUCAGGGAAUAGAUGUUGCGAAAUUAAUAAAACCCUGAACCCCGUUACAAUAAUCCAUCCUCCGCAAUCCUUGGGGUGAAUCUAAAUACAUCCAUGAACGAUCAUCCAUGACUUCUAUCGAACCUCUAUAAAAUUAUGAUGACAUCAUGUAUAUAUUAAUUAACUAAGUUAGGUAAAUAAACUUGUAAAUAUAUUACUUUACCUCGAGAUUAUCUAACAAACCAAUCACAACUUCUCAUAAAUAUUAAAUAUUCAUUAUCAUUUAUCAACGUCCAUACAAAUUUAUAUAUAUAUAUAUAUAUAUAUAUAUAUAUAUUAAUAGAAAUUACCACUCUGCAAUACCAUCGAUAAAACUUAAAAAGGACCCAUUAAGCAAGCUAUUAAUUAUUUCAAAACAUAACAUGUAAUUCGGUAAUUCCAUAAAGUUUUAACAGUUUACAAACAAAUACAAUCUUACAAAAUCUAAAACAAACCAUAACAGGUAUAAAAUUAUAUACAUUCAUAAACUACAAGUUUGUUUGAGAAAUAACAAUAAAACAUGUACAUCUACUAAUAAAAAUACAUAUACUAAAAAAACAAUAAAAUUGACAUUUAAAUGUUAAAAUUUAAACAGAUAGAAUUACUUACAAAAAUUGAUAAAAUCCGUCGGUAAAUCAGAACACGGAUACUAUGACCACAAAACUUCAAGAAAUACAACUACUGAGAUGAGAAAGAUUUUUGUUUGGGGGCGAGGGGGGGCUGGUUAUUUGCAGAUGGGGAGACUUAGGAUUAGGAAGAAGAAGGAGAAAUAGGGGAGGAGAGUGUCGGCAGGGCGGCCAUAUAUUCACUUUUUCCGAUGGACUCACCGACGGAAUAACUCCGUUGCUAAUUGUGACGGGGAAUCGACACGUCACCGCACGAACCUGUUUUUUCAAAUCCCUCGGUAAUUCCAUCGGUAUUUUUUAACGGUGCACCUGUCACGUCACCCGUACGAAUCUGGCAUUUAAAUCCGUCCGGAGUCCGUCGGUAUUUUUGCCGGUGAACCGGUCACGUCACCCGUACGGGUCCCAGGUUUUGAAUUCGUCGGUGAUUCUAUCGGAAAAAUCACCCGCGAAAACCUCCGCCUCAGGUACCCGCCCUUUUUUCAGUAAUUCUGACUUUCCGUCCGUAAUUCGGUCGGUAAUUACCGACAUAAUAAAAUCGUCGGUAAUUACCAACCGAAUUACGGAUGUAAAUAUUCUGUCGGUAAUUUUGACCGAUAAAUACCGAUAGAAAUAUUCCGUCGGGGAUUCCGUUGGUAUUUAGCGAGUUUCUGGUAGUGAGAAAGAAUCUUUUCAGUCUAUUGAUUUCCUUUCAUCCAAGUGAGCUGAAUUUUGAAUCAGAUAGCUUGAGCAUCCCUAACUUCUUAAUUUCUAAGCAUGCACUUGUUCAUAUUGUUAGCUUGAAAUUGUGGUGAUCUUACGGCUGAGUGGCCAAAUAACAUGAAAAAUUGGUUCCAAUUAAUGCUGAAUAUGCAGAGUACUGCGAUGAAAUCAUUCUAAAGUCUUAUGACAACCUCAAAACAUUUUUUUUAAGACAUGAAUGGCAUUAAACAACUAUAAUAAACCAAACAAGUCACCCUAAAGUCUCGACAAAUCAAAUUCAAGUUUAAACCCCCACACAACAUCAAACUCAAGAUUACUAAAAAUGAUUACUUUAAACUUGCUUACAUAUGGUAAUGCCAGAUUAAUAUACAUCAUCAUUAUUCAAAAUGACACUUGAAGUGAAAGGUAGUGAUAAAGAUUAUACCUAAAUGGUUUGAAUCAAUGGAUUCCUAAUGGUUUUAAAGACAUUAAUGUCUAAUUGAUGAAAAAUUAAGUUUGGGAGCCCAAUUUGAGCUUAAUUGAGAAUAUUGAAAUUUAAGAGACCAAAUUUAAUUUUUACCAAGUUAAUUGAUUGAAAUCAGGAGCAAAAUUGCAAGAAAAAUAAAAUUUUAAGAUCAAUUAGGGGUCAAAUUGAAAAAUUUUGCAGCCAAUAAUCAUUUUGCAAAAGACGUGGAACUAUAGGGGCUUAAUUGACAAAAACCGAGGGUGAAAUUGAAGAAAAUUAAAAAUUUCAUGGUUAAUUGAGGGUCAAAUUGCAUAAAUCUAAGACCAAGGAUUAAAGUGCAAAAGCCAUUAAAACUGAGGUUCAAAUUGAAGUUCGGCAGGAAUUAAAUUGUACUAAUUUAGAAAUUUAGGGUCAAUCAGGGGUGCAAUUAAACUAAAUUAAACUUUGGCAAAAAAUGAAUCAGCAGGUGCACUGUUUAUUAUCUUAUUCUUUUUUACAUAGAAAAGUUACUCAAGUUAUCUACUUUCCAGGUGCAUAUAAUGCUUCUAACAUUCACAAAUUUGACAAAACAUGUAUGCAAAUAAUCACUCGACAUUUCCCUUCAACCCAGAAUGGUCUGUUCAAGCUGAUUGACACCAUAACGGUUGUGGGGCUGGCCUAAAGUGUCCAACCUAGAAUGGUUCGUUCAAACUGAUUGACACCAAAACUGCUCAGGUUACCUCCUUUGUAGGUGCAUUUAAUGCCUCUAACAUUCACCAAAUUUGACAAAACAUGCAUGCAAAUAAUCACUUGACAUUUCCCUUCAACCCGGAAUGGUCCAUUCAAACUGAUUGACACCACAACUGCUCAGGUUACCUAUUUUACAGGUGCAUUGAAUACCUCUAACAUUCACCAAAUUUGACAAAACAUGCAUGCAAAUAAUCACCUGACAUUUCCCUUCAACCCGGAAUGGUUCGUUCAAGCUGAUUGACACCAUAACGGUUAUGGCGUCGGCCUUAAGUGUCCAACCUAGAAUGGUCCGUUCAAAUUGAUUGACACCGCAACUGCUCAGAUUACUGACACGGCCAAAAGAUUGAUGUCUUCUCCCAAGUGCAGGAGUGUCGAAGUAAUAAAUAACCCAACAAAACCAGGGUCGAACCACAUGGAGAUUAAUUGUAUAAAUUAUAAAUAACAAUAAUACAACAACAAUAAUAAUAACAAUAACAACAAUAAUAACAAUAACAGUAAUAGUAAUAGUAAUAAUAAUAAUAAUAGUAGUAGUAAUAAUAAUAGUAAUAGUAAUAGUAAUAGUAAUAAUAAUAAUAAUAAUAGUAAUAAUAAUAGUAAUAGUAAUAUAAUAAUAAUAAUAAUAAUAAUAAUAAUAAUAAUAAAGAAGAAGAAGAAGUUGAUGAGAAUUUUAAGAUGAAAGAUUAAUGUAAGGAUUAAGCAAUGAUAAAAACAAAUGUCAAGGUUAGACAAUCCACUAAUGAUAUUUCAAACAAAUAUAGUAUAAACUCCUAUUAUUUAACUAGAAACCACACACAAAGGAGGUUCCAAUCAGAUGAUUUGUCAUUAAUAGCUCAUUAUAAAUUGUUAACAUGAUCAUAUUAAUUAUCUUAUUUAAGUAACACCAAACUUUUAAAUAUUAUCAAGAAUUCAUGAUGCUAACUUAUGUUAACAACAAAUCAAGUUCCUUUCAUAACACAGGUAUAGGUAAUACCAUACGGUUGGGCUAUGAGAGUGCCAAGCAUUUGUUGUACCAAGUGUUAUAUAACACAAAUCUAGAUUAACCAUUUAACAGGCAAGGUAUUAAGAAUUAGUAAGAUAAAAAGAUAAGACAUGUUAAUUUUAAACAUUAAAGUCCAUGUUGAGUUUACACUAUACUUAUUCUUAUACCAUUAGUAUAACCUUUUCACCUUAACAUAAUAAACUUAGCUAAACAUAAUGAAGAAGAGAAACAUAAAUAAACAAAAUAAGAAAAUAAAUAAGAUACAGGUUAACUAAGUAAAGGAAAUGAAAUGAAAAGCAUAAACAAGAUAUUAAUGAAAGCAAAACUUAAGAAUUAUAAAAAAUAUAAAAAGAGAGAGCAAGAGCAAGUUCUUGAUCUAAACAAGUAAGAGGCCUAAAUGCAUGGCAAAUUUCUCCUUUUAUAGGCCAAAAUUUGGAAGUAUUGAUUUGAUGACUAAUUGUUGAGUGGGUAACCAACUCUUGACUUGGUGAAAAUCAUUAUCUUCUUGUUUGAAUAAAACGUCAUUGCUAAAAUCAGAACUAGAACCAACUGUACUCAUAAAAGUUAUAUGAAAUUGUGUUAUCUUUCCAGAAAAAAAAAUUGAGGUCAUUUGGACUUCUAGAACUCGAGAUAUGGGCUGAACACUGAAUAGUGUCUGGGCUGCAGGACAGAUUCAGACUUCUCUGUUGUUGCUAUAAUUUGGACUUGAAAACGGCCUUUUUAAAUCUUGAACUCCACAUGAAAGUUGUAGGCCUAUGUCUUAUCGAAACUAUCCAAAAAAUUAAGAUUAUUUGGACAUCUAGAACUCAAGAUAUGACCCAAUUACCGAACAUUGUUCCAGUUUGGACUGCACCAACAUCUCUUUUCUAAGUUUGGCCCUCUCUUUGUCCUUUCAAUUUCAAUCUUUCAUUUAUGUGAUAGGCCUGCAUUUAUGAUGAAUAUUUACCAUAAAUUAAAGUUAUCUUAUAUUAUUAUGUAUGUUAUUAUAAAACAUGCUUUGGUUAAUGAGUUAUUGAUACUUCAAGUGCAAAAUGAUCAUAUAAAACCUUAUAAAAAUGCACUUUUAAAUACUAAUCAAUUAUCUCAUUUGCAGGUGCAUUUAAUGCCUUUAACAUUCACCAAAUUUAACAAAACAUGCAUGCAAAUAAUAUUGUUGUUGGCAACUGGAAUAUCAAAGGCAUAAACAAAAAAAUAAAAAGUCAAUUUUUAAAAUAGGAUGCCCCCUCAGGAGUGGAAACUGGAAUAUCAAAGGCAAAUACAUGUUGGCAAAGUUAUCAGCCUUUGAAAUGUCUAAUGCACGUUCUGAGGCAACAAAUAGAGUGGACCAAUUGGAAAUGGAAGAAGUGACCUUUGACAGGUCGUCUCGUCUGUGCUGUGUAGCAGUGACCUUUUAAAGGCAUCAAAGACUUCCAAGUCGUUGGCGUUAUGCAAUCAAUAAUUCAACAUUAAAAAAAAUCCGCACUUUCCAAGAAAAUUAACUUUUAAGACAUCAUCAUCAAACUCCUGUAUAUUUCCUUAGAUAUUUUUUUUUUUUUUUUAAAAAAAAACAAAUUAUGGAAAUAUAUUGGUAACGUUCUGAAAAUGGUACGUCAGAUUUUUCGUCCUUAACAUGUGGACCUUUCUUUAUUGAUUUUAAUAGAUUUAGACAUAACUAGUAAAUUCUCGUAGUUUUAUCUUAUAUUGUGAGCUUGAAAGAGUGGUGAUGUUGCGGCCCUAACUUCUUAAUUAACUGCAGAGAUCGUAGCAUCCCUAACUUCUUAAUUUCUAAGCAUGCACUUGUUCAUAUUAUUAGCUUGAAAUUGUGGUGAUCUUGCGGCUGAGUGGCCAAAUAACAUGAAAAUUGGUUCCAAUUAAUGCUGAAUAUGCAGAGUACUGCGAUAAAAUCAUUCUAUCAGGCACACUAAUUACCACUACCAAAAUUAUUCAAACAAGUAAUGCAUAUAUAUGCAUCGAUAGGUAUUUCAGCUAGAAACCUUUGUCUUGAGGCCUAUACUAACUUAACAUGCUAACUAGCUUGCUUCUCAUCGCCCCUUUGGGUUCACGAUCUCGGAGAACACAGCACCAGACAUCAUUUUCUCCGACUCGUUGCUUAGAAAACUCUGUUCGUCGCUGCUGCUUGUUGUUCCCAUUUCCAAAAUGCGGGAAUUCACAACUAGUUCACUGCCAGUACUAAACAAAUGACUGCUGUCAUCGAUUGAGGAGCCUUUCAGAGUAGUCACCAUGUCUACACUCUUUCCCUACACGACGCUCUUCCGAUCUCACAUGACAUUCUCUUCCGCGCUCUCUUGCAAUUGCAAUGCAAACUCAAGGCCCCAACCACAUCGGUCAUCGAUGGCCUUUCGAUUCCAUUCCCGAGCAAGCAUCUCACUGCAACAUCAACAAAGUUUUUCAGACAAUCUGGUGAGAUCUUUCCAUCCAGAAACGGAUCAAUGAUUUCAUUAAUCGUUCCGUUGCUGUGGUUUUGUCUAGCCAACUCUGCUAGACUUGCUGGCACUGCUGAUCGGUUUAUUGCUGGUCUAGCACACAAUACCUCGAACAACACAACCCCAAAUGAAUAGACAUCAGAUUUUUCUGUCAAUUGCUGGCGUUGACAAUAUUCGGGAUCCAAGUGUUGGUGGGAGGAACCACUGGUGGUGGCUUUGAAACACUCAGAGGGGAUAAAACACACUGGUUUUAUUACAAAAUCCGAAGCUUACAAUUAAUUAAAACAAAAGCUUAAACACACCCUCUUUCUCUCUUUCUCUUUCAAGUGUUUAUCUCUAUACUUUCCACACAUAUAACAUAAGCUGGGCACUCUAUUUAUACACGAAAUCAAAACAAGAAAAUUCAACCUUCAAGUGUGAAGGCGGCUGGCGGUUGUGGCAGCUGUGGGGGCGGCUGGCGGCUGCGGCUGGUGGCUGGCGGCUGGUCGGUUGGUGGCUGGUCGGUGGCAGCUGGUGGUUGCCUUCCUUGACCAUCUAGAGGUUGAGUUUAAUUCAACAAAUCUCCCCUUUAAACUCAAUCGAGAGAUAUCAUGCCAAGCAUGAACACUUCUCUCUUCAAUGCCUUCUCUCUGCUUGUAGACCCUUUUGACACCUAUUGCUUUCUUCUUUUCUGGUGGGUCCUUAUCUGCAUGGAAACAAAACAGAGUUGUAUCUUCCAUGACCUGAGUGGUAUCGUACAACUCUUCAAGAUUCCGCAUCUUUCUUGGUCCUUCUGACGAGGAUGCUGAUGGUGGUGUUGAUGAUGAUGCUCCUGGUGUGUUCCUCCUGUUGAAUACAGGGAAUCUGUGUACCGGACUUUGUGGUUCAGCUGCUGGUAUAAACACUGGACUUUGUGGUUCAGCUGCUGGCACAAUCGGUUCUUCUAUAAGUACUGUUGGUACUUCUUCACCUUCAAGGAUCAAAUCAGUGUUGAUCCAUCUGACUGCUUCUUGAUCAUCAUUCCAUGCCCAAGAUUUAUCUUCUUCAAAGAUAACAUCUCUACUCGUAAUCACCUUCUUCGUGAUGGGAUUAUACAGCCUGUAUCCCAUCCUUCUUUCACCAUAUCCGACAAAGAUGCAUUUCUCGCUCUUAUCAUCGAGCUUUCUCCUUCUUGCAUCUGGGAUCUUUGCAUAUGCCACACAACCAAAGACUCGUAGAUGAGUAACACUUGGUUUGUGACCACUCCAUGCUUCUUCUGGAGUAACUCCUUGCAAACUUCUGGUUGGGCAGCGAUUCAACAGAUACACUGCACAUGAUACAGCUUCAGCCCAGUAUUGCUUGGGCAGCUUCUUUGCUUUGAGCAAACUUCUGGCCAUGUCAAGAAUCGUGCGAUUCUUCCUUUCUGCUACACCGUUCAGCUGUGGUGUAUAAGCUGGCGUCGUCUGAUGUCUGAUGCCUUGUUGUGUACAAUAGGCUUCAAAGUCAUUGCUGUAUAUUCUCCACCUUGAUCAGAUCUUACGGUUCUGAUCGUGUAACCAGUUUGCUUCUCCACAAUUGCUUUAAAAUCUUUAAAACAAUUGAAUACUUCUGACUUCCUCUUCAGAAAGUAUAUCCACGUCUUUCUACUAAAAUCAUCAGUAAAAGUGAGGAAGUACCUAUUUUGUCCAGUCGACAUAGGCGUAAUUGGGCCACACACAUCUGUGUGUACUAACUCCAGUGGCCUCUUUGCUCUCCAGUUGACUUCUUUGGCAAAACUGGAUCUGUGUGUUUGCUGAGGACACAACUCUCACAGACUUCAUCUGGAUGAUCAAUGUGAGGCAAACCUUUGACCAUCUUCUUGCUUGCUAGCAUCUUCAUACUCGUGAAAUUCAGAUGUCCAAGCCUCAGGUGCCAAAGCCAUUCUUCACUGUUGGUGAUGGCACUCAAACACCUUGUUGCAUCAUACUGGAUGUUCAAAGGAAACAUCCUAUUCUUGGACAUUUUCACGUAGGCCAUUAAUCUCCCAUUGUUGUCUCUAAUUGUCAGAUGACAAUUCUUCGAGUAAAAACUAUAUCCUCUCUCCAAAAGUUGGCCUAAGCUGAUCAGGUUCUGCUUUAUGGCUGGGACAUAAUACACAUCGGCGAUGUAGCUGGAAUCGCCAUUCUUCAACUUGACUGGGAUGUUGCCUUUACCUUUGAAUGGAACCUUUGUGGUAUCUCCAAAAGUAACUAGACCUUGCUUGGUCUCAUCUAGAUCACCAAAUAACUCUCGGUAGCCGCACAUGUGAUUGCUGGCUCCAGUAUCUAGAUACCAUAUCUCCUUUGUUUCUCGCCAUGUCCUUGUUGGACAAGAAAUGCAGAUGCUUCUCCAUCAUGCUUCUCUACAUAGUUGGCUUGCUCACGUGUCUCCAACGGAGCUUUCCAUCGCAUUCAGUGCUAUAGUGCCCAAAUUGAUUGCAGCUAUAACAUUUGAUAUUUCUCUUCACGGUUAUUGUAACCGCCUCCUCUUCCUCUAGGAGUGAAUGCUUGUUGGCCUCGGCCUCCUCUGGUGGUGUUUCUGCCACCUCUUCCUCUAAAGCUUGUAUUCCAAGAACCUCUUCCUUGGAAUCUCUGGAAUCCUCCUCUGGAUUGUUGACUUCCUCCUUGAGUGGUGUAGCCACUUGAUGAAGUCUCCCCUUGCUCAUAUCUGUCCUUGAAAGACAGCUUUGCUUGUAAGGCAUGCUCAAUGGCCUUAUCUUCAUUUCGCAUUACAAUCUUCUGCUCAUGAGCUUGCAAAGAACUCAUAAGCUCAUCCACUGUCAACUUGUCCACUUCCUUGGACUCUUCAAUUGCGACAACAACAUGAUCAAAUUUUGGAUCUAUGGAUCUCAAAAUUUUCUCAAUAAUUCGAGUAUCGAUGAGGGCUUCUCCAUUUCUUCUCAUCUGGUUGACUAUCACCAUAAUCCUUGUGUGAUAAUCAGAAAUAGACUCCGAGGACUUCAUUCGUAAUAAUUCGAAUUCUCCUCUCAAAGAUUGAAGACGAAUCUUCUUGAUUCUGUCAGCACCUUUGUAUUUCUGUUGGAGAGCCUCCCAUAUAUCAUGUGACGUUUCAGCGGAAGCUAUUAUCUCGAAUGUAUCUUCAUCAAGACCUUGAUAGAUGAUGGUCUUUGCUUUGUUGUCCUUCUUUCUGUUGACUUUAAGGACUUGCUUCUGUGCCUCUUGUAAAGCAUCUUCUCUUUCUUUGGACUCUGGUUCAUCAUAACCAGUUUGUACAAUAUCAAAACACUCUUGUGACCCAAGAAAUGCCUUCAAUCUGAUGCACCAACUAUCAUAGUUGUCUUUGGUCAGCUUCGGGAUGAGUGUAUGUGUACCUUCUGUAGUCAUUUUGCUCUUUUAAUGACUAUAUCGCCUUCUGGGAGCCGAAUUUGACCAAACGGACACUGUAGAUCGAUCCGGAAUGGUCCAAAUAGUCGGGAACCGGUCUGACUUUGUUGAAAUCGGGUCAGAAAAUGGGUGAACCGGUCAAAAAACCAAUUCUGUACGGCGGGCGGUUCGCUGGGUUGAACCGGGAAUAUUCUGGGGAAUAUUCUUGGGAAUAUGCUGGGGAAUAUUCGUGGAAUAUUCUGGGGAAUAUUCCUUCGGCUCGGCUCGGCUCGGGGUACGGCUCGGCUUGUGGCUCGGCUGGACUCGGCUUAGGCGGCUUACACGGCUCGAAUAUGGCGCGCGUGUGGCUCAGUCGUCUUCAACCUCGGGGCGCGUGGGAUGCGCGUGGGCGAUCUGGCUGAAUAUUCAGGAGGCGCGUGUGGGCUACCCCGAACUCCGAUUUGGCUGAUUUUUGCGGCAGUGAGUUCGUCUUGAUGAGCUCUACACUGUGGAAUGAUCAAAACUUGUUUUGGACAACUUUGAAAAUUCGGAUAUACCCCAAAACUCUUCUGUUUUCCGACGAACGGGGCUCUGAUACCAAUUGUUGGUGGGAGGAACCACUGGUGGUGGCUUUGAAACACUCAGAGGGGAUAAAACACACUGGUUUUAUUACAAAAUCCGAAGCUUACAAUUAAUUAAAACAAAAGCUUAAACACACCCUCUUUCUCUCUUUCUCUUUCAAGUGUUUCUCUCUAUACUUUCCACACAUAUAACAUAAGCUGGGCACUCUAUUUAUACACGAAAUCAAAACAAGAAAAUUCAACCUUCAAGUGUGAAGGCGGCUGGCGGUUGUGGCAGCUGUGGGGGCGGCUGGCGGCUGCGGCUGGCGGCUGGCGGCUGGUCGGUUGGUGGCUGGUCGGUGGCAGCUGGUGGUUGCCUUCCUUGACCAUCUAGAGGUUGAGUUUAAUUCAACACCAAGUACCCUAGGCUACCUUUCACAACGGUGCUCACGUGGCCCUUCGAUGUGUUCGUAGGGCCUGUUUUGGACAAUCCGAAAUCCGAAACUUUGGCCACCCAUUUCUCAUCCAGCAAGAUAUUUGUUGUCUUCACAUCACGAUGAAUGACAGUGUGCUUGGCACCUGUGUGAAGGUAAUGCAACCCACGGGCAGCACCGAUGCAAAUCUCUAGGCACUGAGUCCAUGAAAGUGGAGGAUUCUCAGUUCUGUAGAGAUGAUCACGAAGCGUCCCCCGAGCCAUAUAAUCAUACACCAGGAUCAUCUCAUUAUUAUCAUUACAGUAACCAAUUAGAGAAACCAAAUGGCGGAAUCUAAGCUGGGAGAGCAUCUCAAUCUCUGUCCUGAACUCGGUUGCACCCUGCCGUGAACUUGGAUUCAAUCGCUUGAUCGCAGCACGAUUGACUCCACCAUCAAAUAAUCCUUUGUACACGUUACCAAAGCCACCAACACCAAUAAUGAAUGAAUCGUCGAAGUUGUUUGUUGCUGCCAUUAUCUCAACUAGCGAGAAACGGUAGCAUAGAUCAGAAGGUAGAGAUGGCCUAUGGGUCUUUGUUGAGUUUUUCUUGAAGAGGAAACAAGAGGGCUUAAGUUUGAAGCUGCAUCACCAGAAACCAAGUCCUUGAAUUUUUGGACUCUUCUCCGGAAAAUCAUGAAAAAUAGAACAGACACGACAACAAUGCCCGAAACAGCAGCACCAAUAAUGGCGACUGUUCUUCGAUUAUGCUUGGUUGAGGUCGCGCUAGGAGGAGUAUUACUAACGGGGCUGUCCGGAUACGCGUCAGGAUUUGGUCCGGCAAGAUUUUCUGAGUUGCUCAGUUUUAAGAUUUCAGCGCCAUUCAACAUUGCAUCAAAGACAUAAUUAGUAGAAUGAAUAGGGUGCAAUGCAAUCGACAAAUUCUGUAUCUCUUCGUUUCCUCUGGCAUCCAUCAUCACUACGUAAUCUCUGUAUAUGGGAACCCCAUUUCCACCAGCCCAAGAAAUUAUAUCUGCGUAAUGCUCUGCCGUUUGAUUAGCGAUGUAUAUUUUAAAGACUAGAUCGCCAUUUUGCAAAAAAAUCGCUAUAAACUGACAGAAAUGAAGCCUAACAAGAUAGGUGAAUCUGGAGUGGACCGGAAACUCCCACGUCAUAUUGUAUUUCUCACUACUUACAGUGGAAUUGGGCCCCAUGGUCCUAGCAGUUCGAUAGAGUUCGUCAGGUGCAGAAUAGCGAGUGUGGUUAUUUUACUGAAGUUGAAUAGUGUCAUUAAUAAAUUGAAAAGCGCUUGGUCGAGCAUCCGUCAAGUAAUCAACAUCGCUUAACCAACUUCGAUACAUGCCACAUUUACUCGGUACAUGAUCUCUAAAGCAGUUUCAUUUUGAAGGGGAAGAUAGACCCCCUGGUCAAAAUUAUACAGCUCUGGGUUAUCUCCUGCAGUGUAAUAAAGAUUGGUGGGCAUGGAUACGAUUUCAAUCCCGUUGAUGAAAGCAUAUGCAUCAGCUACAUGAGGGCUUGGCGUGAACGUUAUGCUCAGAUUUUUCUGCUCAUCUUCAACAUUUAAGAUGAAUUCUCUGGCGCAACCUCGUUCACCAAGAGGGUCAGUGUAAUGGAAGCCACUGAAGUUGCUAAGAAAGGUAUAGCGACGGGUUGUGACAGAAAAAGAUGCUUUAGACCUGUUGAAACCAGUGUAGGAAGCUGGAUUGAAAUGGAGGCGAACAAACUUAGGUCCUGUUGUUUUGACAGGAAAUGUGUAGGUGAAUUUGGAGAGAGAGACACGAGCAGUAUAAUAAGGUACAGAGCUAGGGGAGGCUUCAUUUGCUGUGGGAUUUGUUGAGGGGCCGUCUUGAUCUAGAAGGGCCACUCUUGAGUUGAUGUCUGCAGUCCAGUUUCUAGCGUUUCCAAUACUAUCGGAGGAUGAACCACAAUCAAGCGCUCUGCUAUCGAGGGGGACGUAAGGUGCUUGAUCCCCGGUUACAAGGAUGGUGAGUUGGAGGAACAGGAAGGAGAGGUGCAGAGGAGUGAAGAGAGAUAAGUUUGUGAGAGAGAGAGAUUUGCUGCUGCUGCUGCUGCUGCUCAUUUUGUUUUUGGCCAGAGGAGGAGAGAUGAAGAAAUCAAGAGGAGAAGCUCCUUUUAAUUAUAUGCUGAGAGGAGUUCAAGUCAUGCUAUAGUUUUCUGAUUCUAAUUUUUAUUCUUUUUUUGAUUUCUUAUGUAAAAUCGUUUUCAAGUAUUAGUAAUUAUAAAAGUCUCAUGGAGUAGUAUCAAUGUAUCAUUUGGCAAAGGGACAAUAUAUGGAAGACCUUUGAAAGGUUUUAUUUAUUUAUUUAUUUACAUGGGUGUUCAGGCCAGCUUAUGCGUAUCACGACUAAUUUCAUGGUCCACUAAAUAUUCUACAAACCUAGUGAGCAUGUAAGGUACCGCGAGGAUGACAGACAUGCAUGAGAUUUGAAUCUAGUGCAGGAAAAAAAAAAAAAAAAACUCUUUUCACUAAUAGGCCAAAACGUCAAGUGUACUUUGAAAGUUCUUUGAUAGUACGAGCGGAGCAUGAAAGACUUCCAGGUCGUUGGCUGUAUUCUAUCAACUUUAGAGAUUUCCGUGUCUAGGGGGGCAUGAAGGUCUAUCAUGACUCUCAUCUAAACUGUUAGGGUCUCAUCUAAACUGUUAGGGUCUGGUAUAUAGGGUGAGAUAAUUGAAGUGAUAAUCUUAACGUAUAAAAUUUAUUAACUCCAAACGAGUGAUAGGGUAAAUAUUUUUUAAUGUUUUCUCUCAAAGCAAAUUAAAGAAAACUUGAAUGAUUUUGGGUGAUUGGGUGCCUACAAGGAUACAGGCGAGAGGAGCGACAUGACCAUUUGCUUCCCAUUAUACUUGAUGCCAUGACACUAAUAAUUAAAUAUUUCGCUUCUGGUUUGUAUUUGGACUAACCAAAUUCAGAGGACUCUCCAUGUUAAAAUAAUUUGUAUGCUAAUUAGAUAUAUGUGAUUUGAUUCUUUAAGCCGCGCUAAUCCCUCCUUUUGUAGUCGAGCAAAUUUAACGUUACUUUUGACUUAAAAAGAAAGGAUGUAUAUCAUAUUUAUAUUUGUUCUAGUUUCAAACACAUUUAAAUAUUGAUUAAAAUUUAAAACUAAAAAACUUUUUAAAUUAAAUUUGUAUUUUUCAUUUAUUUACGGUUGAAAUUUCUUUAUUUUAUUUUUUAUGUGGUCAAUUUUUUUUUAUGUUUUAAUUUAAGAGGUCAAAAAAGUUUGAUUAAAAAUCUCUUUUGUAGAUUUUUACUUUUUAUUUUUAACUCUCAUUAAUAACGGGUCAUCAUUUGGAUCUUAAAUGAAUAAAAAGAUAGUUUAAUAAAAUUUCCAGUGAAGGAUAAGAUGAAAGAAGUGCAGACGAAACAUACUUGAUGGUGUUAAAUGUGUAAAUUUUCAUAGACAUGAUUUUCUAAUUUAUUUUUUCAUGAUUGUUUUUAUUUACUCGAGCUUUUUUAUUUUUAAAAUAAAAUUUAUUUUUUCCUAUUGUUUUUCUUUGCAUCUAUAAAAAAAACAAAACGUAUCUAUAAAAAAUAAGAAACAAUAAGACAUAAGAAGAAUUUUAGAAUAAAUAAUAAUAAAAAGAUCCAACAUUAAUUCAAUAUUUUAUUUUAUUUUUAUUGAAACUAGCACUAAUAAAAAUCUUACACGUAUCCUUAUAUGUUUUUGAAAUUUAAAAUUAAUAAAAAAAAAUUGACUUGAUCAUUGAUAGAGAAACUCAUAUUGUCCAAUGAACUGUAAACAAUAUUGAAUUAUGCAAUGUGAAAUCACUACAAUGUAUAUAUAUAUAUAUAUAUAUAUAUAUAUAUAUAUAUAUAUAUAUAUAUAUAUAUAAAAUGAUACUAAUGGAGCCUCUAGUCUAAUCAAACCGGCUAAAUUCCAUGUAAAAUCGUUUUCAAGUAUCAGUAUAUGAAAGUUUCCUAGAGGUUUAAAGUCAUUGGCAUACUCUUUUAAAUGAUGCUUCUCUUUUAAAUGAUGCAAUGAAAUAUUAGAAAGAGGUUCGUUGAAACCAAAUAAUAUUGAUAUCUAUACUCUUUUAAAAGAUGCUUCUCUGUAUGAAAUGAUGUUAUGCUAAAGAGCAAAAAACAAGUUAUUAAGAGGAACUUAUUUAGUUGGUUAUUUGAAUGAGAUAGUUAAGGACAGUUCAAUAAUUGCCUUGGAUUUUGAUGAAGAGUUUGAGGAAGAUCAACAUUAGCUAAUUUCAAUCGCAUAACUUAAGAAUGGAUGAUUGUUCGAGGAUGUUAUAGAAAGAAAUCAUGAAGAGGCUAGCAAACAUGUUAUUAAAGAAACAAAAGCUAUCAAUAUGGUCAAUAAGGGAAAGAACACUCUUUUGAUAUCAAAAGAGUUGAAGAAAUUUUUAACCAAUUAAUAUGUGAAAGGAAAAUCAAGCUCUUUGGUAUUCACAUGAACUCCAUUGCUGAACAGAUCAAGAGGAAAUUAUAUUACAUGUGGCAUAACUAAUAGAGACAUGGCAUCAAUAGUUGUGCUGUCUUUAUAAAUCAGAUCUAAAAAGCACUUGAGCCUGAUCAUAUUUGCUUCCAGAGAAAGAAAAUUAUGAUAGAUAACAAUCAUUUUAGCAAUUACGCUAACGCUAGAAAAACUCAAUGGUAAAAUAGAUUUAUAGAACACAAUGCCUUGUCGACCACGAAAAAAGCUAGAAUUAGUCAUGAAUACUACUACUAGAAAAAGCUAUUUCAAAUAUGACAAGGCUAAGGAGUUGGCAUUAGAAGAUUAGUAAAUACCUUCAUAUGAGGUGGGUGGGUAUGCAUGUAUCAUAUUGUUAUAGAACUCUAGAUAUGGGGAAAAUACCAUUAAGAGGUCAAGUUGUUAGUAACAAGACAAUUUGGUGAUCAGAAUUAAAACUAUUGAUGGACAUAGAAGAUAGCUGUAACAUUUCAUAUAAAAGUUGUAGAGGAAUGAGUUAGCUAACAUUUGGCACUAGCAUUACCUUAAUUGGACUUAUAAAACUCCAGAUAUAGGAAAAAUACCAUUAAGUGGAUAAGCUUUUGUAACAUGACAUAUUUCACCACCUGACUUCUAAAUAGUUUUAAAAUAGAUGAAUAAUAGAAUUUUGGGCAAUCUUAUACAUGAAAGUUGUAUUUAAAGAUGUUAAAUUUCAUUAGGAUUUGGCAUCACCUGAAUUGAAGCUCUAGAAUUCCAUUUGGGGACUAGAAAUUAUAGACUGAACAUGUUGUGAAUUGAUGGAGAGAUUUACAUAUAUAUAUGUGUAAAAGACGAGUGAUUUUAGGCAUGCUAAUGAUUCAUGUUGAAAUUAAUUCUUCUAAAUCAUGAUAUAUAUAUAUAUAUAUAUAUAUAUAUAUAUAUGUGUGUGUGUGUGUGUGUGUGUGUGUGUGUGUGUGUGUGUGUGUGUCAACAUUCAAAAGAAACAUAUAAAAGGGUCUAGACGAAAAUAGAUGUUGAAAUUUCAUUAAUGCAAAACCAAGUCAUAGAUAUUGAAAUCUUGUUGAUACAAAACUAAGUCAAGGACACCGAAAUUUUGUUGAUGUAAAACAAAUUUUGAGUCAUGCGGACACUAACUCUAAAAAUAUACUUGAUAUGUAUAUUGACACAACCAAAAGAUUGAUGUCUUCUCCCAAAUGUAAAAGUGUCGAAAUAAUAAAUAACCCAGCAAAAUUGGGAUCGAACCACAGGGAGGUUAACUAUACAAAUUAUAAAUAACAACAACAACAACAAUAAUAGUAAAACUACUACUAGUAGUAGUAGUAGUAGUAGUAGUAAUAGUAAUAAUAGUAAUAAUAAUAAUAAUAAUAAUAAAGAUGGAGAAGAAGAAGAAGAAGUUAAUGAGAACUUUGAGAUGAAAGAUUAACGGAAGGAUUAAACAAUGAUAACAACAAAUGUCAAGGUUAGAGGAUCUACUAAUGGUAUGUCAAACAAGUAUAAGAUAAACUUUUAUUAUCUAAUUGAAAACCACACACAAAGAAGGUUCCAAUCAGAUUAUAAAUUAUUAACAUGAUUACUGUGAAAACCCGCUAAAUUAUAAUAUGAGUAAAAUAAAUAAAGUAUUGAAUAAAUUAAAUAAAAAGAUUUUAAGUAUUGUAAUUGGAUACAAUAGAAUAAAAUAUAAGAUGUUAUGGUGUGAAUUAAGUAAAAGAAGAGUUGAGUGACAAAAAUAGAAAUAAGAAGAAAUGAGGGCCAAUGUGUAAAUUGGUAAAAGUUAGACUAUAAAUGCUUCAUCUUUUUCUCUUUUAGCCGUGAGUUUGAAACAAAGAGAGGGGGAAGAAUUGUGUGAUUUUCUACUUAAAUGCUCAUUGAUUUCACUAAUUAAAGUGAGUAAUUAGAGUGAUUAACUUAAUUAAACAUCAAAAGGGGGUUGAUUUUAAGGUGGUGAGUGCAUUGAAGGAAGGAUUUCAAGCUAGGGUUUGAAGAGGGAGAAUAAGAAAACUUGUUUUUCUUGCAUUCUUUCCUUAAAUCCUUAUCAAAGUGAGGUAAAUAACAUGUUCUAAAUGAUUAAUUCCUUUAUUUUUAUGUUUGAUGAAGGAUUAUGCAAAAUGAUGAUUAUGUGAAGUUGUGGAUUUAUGUUAUAAUUUAUAGGAAUAAUGCAAAUUAUGUUUGAACCAUGUUAGAAAGCAUGAAUUAUGAUUGGGUAAGUGUUUAAUUUUAAAUAAAUGAAACAAAAAUUAAUUUUCCCCAUUUUAAUUGAAUAUUUGGCCAAGAGAGGAAUAAUUUAGGGGAUUUGAGGUUUAAUACAAUUGUUUGGAAAAUAUGGGAAGAUGAAAGUUUAUAAGUGUUGUUAUAUGAAUGGAGUAGGAAUUUUUUUCAAGGAGAAAAGAAAAAUAUUCACUUCCCUCCCUAAGUUGUUUUUGGCUAAAUGGAGAAGAAAAUUAGAGAAUGGAGUUUAAAUGAUAUUAUUGAGGAAUCUUACUAAAUUUAAGACAAUUGAUGUUGAUAGGUUAAAUUGAAUAGAGACUUUUAUGGAAAUAAUAAUAAUAAUAAUAAUAAGAAAAUGUUUCAAAAGGGGGGGGGUUUAUCCCCCUUGAAUUAAAAGUCAAUUAAACUUAAUGAAGGGUAUUGGAUUUAACAAAGAAUAUGUCAUGGGUAUUAGAAUUUUACCGGUUCAAAUGAAUGAACAAAUGACAAAGUAAUUUUGUUGGUGCAGAGGAGGCCGCAGGACCUGAUCAGCAACAAGGGACCUCUUCACGCGCACAUACACCAGGUAGGUGUUCAACACCUUUGAGUGAUUAAUCAGUUUAUAUUUUUUAUUGUACAAGGAAUUUUAUAGAUUAUAAAUAUUAGUGCUGGUUACUAGAAAUAAUGCCCUGGUGAAUGGGCAAGCCUUGAAAAAUUAUUUCCUGGUUUCUGGAAAUAAUGCCCUGGUGAAUGGGCAAGCCUUGUAAAAAACUUAUUUCCUGGUUACUGGAAAUAAUGCCCUGGUGAAUGGGUGGUUACUGGAAAUAAUGCCCUGGUGAAUGGCAGGCCUUGAAAAAUUAUUUCCUGGUUACUGGAAAUAAUACCCUGGUGAAUGGGUAGUUACUAGAAAUAAUGUCCUGGUGAAUGGGCAAGCCUUGAAAAAUCAUUUCCUGGUUACUGGAAAUAAUGCCCUGGUGAAUGGGCGAGCCUUGAAGAUCAUUUCCUUAUUAUUGAAAUUUAUGCCUGGUAGAAUGACCAUGUUAAGAAAAUUAAUUUUUCAAAUUAAUGGGAUAAUCACUCGAUGUAAAAUAAAUCAUAAAACUUUGAAGUUAAAUAUGCUAGGUUGUGGGAGACACUCUUGAUAUUUUUAUUUUAGUAGAUUUAUCCCUGUCUAGAAGAGAAUUUAUGAAAUUAGAAAUUUCAAAAAGAAAAUAAGACAAUUAAUUCUAUGAUAUGAAAAUCACCUUAAUGUAUAUAAAUAAUUAGUUCUUAAUCAGUUACUUAUUGAAAUGUGCAAUUGUUUUAAUCAUGUUUAAUGCAAUUAUGUUUUUAGGUACAUCGCACCCUCGAUCUGGAAAGUAGAUGCUCGGAUAAAUAAUUUUGUUAUGUGAUUAAUGUACUUGGAAGAACUAAUAUUUUGUCGUAAUAUGCUUCCAUAUCUAAAAUUGUAAUGUUUAACUUAUUAUCUUGUGUAUGAUAUAAUUUGUAAGGUUAUUAUUAUUAAGUUGAAUUAUGGUUGGUUGUGUGUGUAUAUAUAUAUAUAUAAAGAGAUGAUGCAUGUUAAGAAUUUAUUAGUUUUAUUGUAGUGUUCUAUAGAAAAUAGAAUUGUGAUAUUGAAAUAUGCUUGAGUUUUUUGAUGUCCAAAUGAUGGGACGAAUAUUGUGAUUGAUGUUACAGGUUGAGAAAUGAUUGAGUCGAUAACUUGGUACCUAAAGAAUACAAAGGAAACUCUGCCGAAAUUUCGAGAAUAUAUAUAUAUAUAUAUAUAAAAAAAUGGUAACUACGAAUAUAUCUAAUAUAUUUUUGAGUUUACAAAUUGAGACUGUUACAAUUACAUUAGUUAUCUUAUUCGAAUAAUGCUAAUAAUUGUAAAUGUUGUUAGGCAUUCAUGAUUAUAACUUAUGUUAACAACAAAUCAAGUUUUUUUCAUAGCUUAGGUGUCGGUUAUACCAUACAGUAUGGGCUAUGAAAGUGCCAAGUAUUUGUUGUACCAAGUGUUAUACAACAUAAAUCUAGAUUAACCAUUUAACAAGCAAAGUAUUAAAAGUGAACAAGAUAAAAAAUAUAAAACAUGUUAGUAUCAAACAUUAAGGUCUAUGUUGAGUUUACACUAUACUUAUUCUUACACCAUUAGUGUAACCUUUUCACUUUGACAUAAUAAACAUAACUAAACAUAAUGAAAGAAAGAAAAAUAAAUAAACAAAAUAAGAACAUAAAUAAGAUAAAAGUUAACUAAGUAAAGGAAAGGAAAGGAAAGGCAUAAACUUGAUAUUAAUGAAAGCAAAACAUAAGCAAUACAAAGAAAGAAAGCAAGAGCAUGAUCUUGAUUUGGAAACCAAGAUGCCUUAAAAUUUGAAACUAUUGAUUUGAUAAAUAAUUGAUGAGUGGGUGGCCACAUCUUAACUUAGUGAUAAUCCUUAUCUUCUUGUCUGAAUAAAACAUCAUUGAUAACGUCAAAAUUGGAACCACUUGUACUCAUGAAAGUUCUAGAAAAUUGUCUCAACUUUCCAGGAAAAAAAAGGUCAUUUGGACUUUUAGAACUCCAGAUAUGGGCCAAACACUGAACAGUGUUCAGGCUGCAAGAUAGAUUCGGACUUCUUCGUUGUUGCUAUAAUUUGGACUUAAAAAUAACCUUUUUAAAUCUUGGGCUCCAUGAAAGUUGUAAGCCUAUGUCUUACCUUUCCAUCCAUAUAAAGUAGACCUAAAUUUGAGAUCUACAACUCCAGAUAUGACCCAAUUACCGAACAAUGUUCCAAUUUGGACUACACUAGCAUCUCUUUUCUAAGUUUGGCCAUCUCUUUGUCCUUCCAAUUUCAGUACUUAAACUCAUCAAUCAAUCCUUUCAUUUAUGUGAUAGGUCUGUAUUUAAUAUGAACAUUUACCACAAAUUAAAGGUACAUUAUAUUAUUAGAUAUGUUAUUAUAAAACAUACUUUAGCUGAGUUAUUGAUACUUCAAUUGCAAAAUAAUGAUAUAAAACUUUGAUAAAAAUACACUUUUAAGUACUAAUCAUAUAUAUAUGUUAUGAUAAGAAAAUGAACAUAUAUAGAAAGUAUCAUAUGUAUAAUGAAUUAAUAUGGACUGCCUAUAACAUUUGGCUUGAAGGAAUCAUGACCAAAUACUUCUUUGUGAUUCAGAAGGAGCGACCAGGGAUUGGAUGUUCUAUUAGAGAAAGUCAUGAGACAUGUGGAGCAGGUAUGUGGUUUCCCUCUUCUUCACACUUAUAGAAUUAUAAUAAUGUUAUGUUCAAUAUAAAUAAAGUCUAGUGUAUUAAUGAGAUUAGUUUCAGCUAAUGGUAUCUGUGAUAAGAUUUUUGGGAAAUGAAUUACAAUAUUAGUUUCGGCUAAUGACAUUCGUGAUAGGAUUGCAAAGAAAUGAAUUAGAAUAUUAGCUUUGGCUAAUGACAUCCAUAUUGGGAUGCUCGGGAAUGAUCGAUAAGGCUCGAUUUGUAAAGGGUAUCCGUGGUUGGAUGACCUAGAAAAUAUUAUAAGUAUAAUUGCCCAAAAAUAUCCAAGUUGGACUAUGCAAGGUUAAAGAUCUAGUAAAACCAAUUAAACAAAGUUACUAGGUUCAUGUAAGAAAAUAAUAAUAUUAAAUUAAGAAUACAUAAAUGAGGUCUAAUUGGGUUUUAAAUGAUUCUCGAGACAUUUAUAAGUUGCUUAUUAGAAUUCCUAGGAAACCAAUAGAAAACUUAUGUUUUAUUUGUAUUCAUUACAUGAUCAUUUAUAAUUUUACUGUCAAUAUAAUUUUAUAUUUAUUAAGUUGUUUUUGUAACAAAUCUAUCUAGUAGCCAGGGAGCUCAUUAGUUUUUAGGACUUUACUUUGCUAAGUUUAUGUAAAAAUUUAACUUAUGCAUAAAAGUAAUAACUAGAUUAUGCAAUAUGUUUUUUGUGUAAACUCAGAUAUAUAUUGUAUGAAUCAGAACUCCUUAGUUAUUUGGUAAUUAAUCCUUUUGAAACCUUUAAGAAUACUUAUGUUAUGUUUUAAAUUCUCUUGUUACAUGUUAGUAUAUAUAUAUGCCUUAUGAACAAGAUCAAUAUAAACAUAGCCCAUAUAUUUUUUUAUUUUCAAAAAUAAAAUUAAUAUAUACAAAAGAUUCAAAAAAAUUAUAGAUAAAUCAGAAGAACCUCCUAAAAAAUUAAAACAAUAAUUAAAAAAUAACUUUCAUUUCAAAGAGGCUCUUUAAACAACAUUAAAAAAGGUAUUGAUCUAAAUAUAAAUAAAAAAAUAUGAAAUGAAUUAAUUUUUUAAAAAUAAAAACUCAAAAAAUAAAAACACAAAAAAAGGCCAAGAAUUGUCGAACCUAGCAAGGUAGGUCAGCCUACUUAGCCCAUUUUGUUAGGGCCCAUGCGCACUGACUUUUUUUUUUUUUUUUGCAAAUUAUUUAUGAAAAAAACAAAUAAGAUUAUGUGUCACUCGUGGGCUAUAUAUUUUUCUCUCUUGCAAAAACGUUGUACAUGCAUGCUUUUUUGAUGCAUUUUUUACAUAAAAAGAUUUAAAGUUUAGAUUAAAAAGCUUAUGCAUUUAUGUAAUCAAACAAAUCGACAAUUAUGUGAAUUAAUAAUCGAAAAAAAGGUAUUGAUGAUAACUAAAAAUAAAAUUAGAAGAUUCAGGUAUGUUAAUAAAUGAAAUAUUUACUUGGUUGUGUAUUUUUGAAUUUGUUUAUUAAAAUUAAUAUUUUUAUUCAAUUAAAUGAUAUUAAAAAUAAACACACAUACUAAAUUAAUCAAAUAAAAUAAAAGUGGAAAAAAAUAUUAUGCAAAGUUAUACAUAUUAUGUUAUCUGAAAAUAAAUAUUUUUAUUUUUAAAAUAAAAUUCUUGUAUACAAAAAGAUAAAAGAAAAAAAUUGUCGAUGAAUUAGAAUGAGUUUUUCAAAAAUUAAAUACGAACAACACUAUAGAAAAAUAAUCUCUAUAAAAAAUCAACAAAAAAAACCCCACAAAUAAGAGAUAUUAAUUAAAACAUAACUUUAAAAAAUAUUUAAAAAGGACACAUAAAAAUUAUCAGUAGAAAAAAGCAAUAUCAAAAAAACAAAAUGUCUGGUUGUUGAAGCUUAACUCGUUAAACUCAUGAUCCGAACAAUAAACUCAAUCAGGUUCAAUAGUUUUUCCCCUUAAAUAUAUAUUCAACUUUUAACAUGAAAAAAUUAAACCCGUAACCCGGAUCAUGAACUCAACUAGACUUAAUAUUUGUUUCCAUUAAAUUUUUUUUUUUAAAAAAUAAACCCUUUACCUGGACCAUGAAUUCAAAUGGAUUCAAUAAAUUGUUUCCCCUUAUGUUUAUAUUCAACCUUUAAAAAAAAUUUAAAAACACACAACAUGAUAAAAAAAAAAUGAUAUAAAAAAUGUAAAAACAAAUCACAAAUAAAUGAUGUUAAUGAAACAUAAAUUUAAAUUAUUUAUAAAAAGAUACCAAUAAAAAAAAGGAAAUAUCAAAAAAAAUAUCCAAUUAUUAUGGCUUAACUUAUUAAAUUCAUGUCUCAGUCUAUAAACACAAUUAAAUUCAAUAUUUUUUCUUUCCAAUUUAUAUUUAACUUUUUUUAAAAAAAACACCACGUGAUCCGGAUCUACAUCUGAAACAGGUAAAGUAUAAUGUUGUUGAUCCACGCUAGCAUGAAAUUGAUCUCUUGUGAUAUCAUUUAAUUUCAUGUAUAGGAAAAUAUGACCUAACCAGUCAAUCAUUGCCACAUUCCUCUUCUUUCUUAGCUGCUUGCUUUUAUAUUUGAUUAGAUAGACACCAUUAAAAAGAGCUAGCUCAAAAUAAAAGAGAUGCUAUUAGAGGUCUAGGCGCGAGGACGCGCCAACAAAAGCACACUGCCUAGAAUUCGGUAGCGAUGGACAGCAGCAGAGACGAAUUCAGCAAACAGUGUGCAAUGGUCUGUGCAAGUCUUUGAGCUGGCGACUUGACAUGGACAUAGGGGCUUAGAUAAUGGACCUUCUAAGUCAGCAGCUGACGCAGCAACAACUGGUAGUUUGACUGCUAGGUGGACAGCCAGAACGUGGGUGAAGUGGCAGCUUCAUGGCCUAGAACAUGGGUAACUUGGCAGCAUCCUGUGGCCAGAACGUGGGCAUAACUGGGGUGCUCUCCAAGCUACUAGGAUCAUGGAGAUCAUGGGGGAGAAAGUGUCCCACUAUGUCUUGAAAAAUAGGAGUCAUGAGUGAGCCUUGCAGCUCACAUAUUUGUCUAUAAAUAGGCUGCAAAAGCCUUGGUUGUGUAGCAUGCAAUUUAUGUGCAAAGCUCACACACUCUUAUUGUGUAAUCCUUUGUUGAUGAGAUAAAUAAAGGUUGAGAGCUAUUCUUGUAAAGUUUGGUGUGCUUGCUUGUGUUUGUUCUUUGUUUACGACGAGGCGAUUGUAAGAACCUCUUUGAAUGAGCGAAACACAUAAUCGUAGAAAACACGAGUGAAAGGGGAGGCUAGGCUGAGUCUAGUUGGGACUAGACUGCCGCAUUGGGUUGAAUUUGAUUGCGAAAAAUUUAACCCCAUGACAGAUACCAUGAAGAGUCUUUCCUUGUCAGCUCUAACAUUAUCGUCGUUGUUGUUGAUGAUGUUGCUAGUAUAUUUCAUCAUGAACUCAACUGGACUUAAUAUUUGUUUCCAUUAAAUUUUAGAAAAAAAAAAUUUUGAAUCUUUUGCGAAAGGGACAAAACCAUCGAUGUUUACUAUCAACACUCUAAUUUUUUAGAGAAGAAAGACACCAUGAAGAAAUGGAGACCUAUAUUUCUCAGGUACGUGUACAUGCAUAUAGAUCAUAAUGCAUUGUUUUCAACUGUCGCACGUGUGCGGCGGCGCGGCGAUCGUCCACCCUCAAGGAAAAAUUGGAAGAAUAUUUAUUCCUGGAAAAUAGGGAGAGACAAGGAAUUCUUGUCUCUACAAGUGAAAAUAUGGACUGGGAGUCGCCACCUAGUAUUCUGGUUACUAGGAACCUUAACUGGUCUUUAGAGAUCGGGUACGGAGACUAGUUGCGUAAAGGGAAGGUAUUAGCACCCCAACUACGCCCUACCUAAGGUAGGCUGCAUUGUUUUAAUGUCUGAUAAAAUCUAAAAUCAUGUUAUGGUUUUUUAAUUAUUGGUUCGUUUACGGUUUAAGAAAAGUCCUCCUAUGUAAGGAGAUCCUUAUCUUUAUCGGGUAAAAACCUAACUAUUCAAAGUCGUCAAAAGAAAAUAUCUUUUUAAUAUCAGGAAUACGAUUUACGUAUAAAUUCAUAAUCCCUGAUACUAAAAUCAAACAAAAUAAAAUUUUUGUUGUUUUUGAGAUUUUGGUCAAUGUUCUCUUGACUUUAAUAAACUGGUUAUUAAAGCCAAAAUGCAUGCUAAAAUAUUGUUUUUUGACAUAUGAAAAAUAUGAUAUGAGUUUUUAGAUUUGAGACACUUGGCCGUAUGCACAAAAAUAUUUUUUUUUAGUUGUUUUUUUGUAUUUUUGGAAGUUUUUGCCGAAAAUCGGGUAUUUUAAUACCGGAUUUGUAUUUUACGACAUAAAAAUACUGGCCGAUAUUAAUCAAAAUGACAUAAAAACGACGCGGAAAAAUUAUAAAAUGUUCAAACAAAUAUUUUUGAUUUUUUAUGUUGUGUGAACAGUACCGCGGGACGAAAACUGGGUAUUUUAAUACCGGAUUUAUAUUUUUACAAUGUAAAAUACAGAUCGAUAUUAAGCAAAAUUGAUAAAAAAAAAAUGUGCUGAAAAAAAUUGUAAAAAAAAAAUAAAAAAAAUUGAAAUGGGCCGGACCCGGCCCAUUUCAGUGGGCUGGGCCCACCCGACCCAUUUCUAAAUGGGCUGGUUACUGUGCAUAGCCUAUCAUCAGUUGCAGAACGUGAAUUAAUUCACGUUCUGCAUGAAAACAAAAGAAGGCAGAAGGAGAAGGAGACGGGGCAGCGGGAGGUUACCUGCGGUGGCGUCGAGGCGGUGCUGGUGGUGGCAGCGGAGGCGAUGGUGGCGGAGGCACAGUGGUUCUGCGUUUCCCUUCUCUCUCUCUUCUGUUUUUCUUCGUUUUCUUCCCUGCUUCUUCUUCUUCUUCUUCUUCUUCUUCUCUGCCCUCUCUCUUCUCUUCUCUUCUCUCUCGGUUCGUCUCCCUCUUCUCUCUCCAUCGGUCUCCCUUCUGUUUUUCUUCUCUUUUUUUCGGUGCCCCUCCCCUGUUUUUAUAGGCAAAAACAGGGGGGUGGUGUCGUGGUGGGGCGGCCACUGUCGGUCGCCCCUCCACUAUCGACUCAAAAGGAUAAAAAGGAGGAGACAAGUGGGUGAUUGCGGGCGUCUUAUUGCGCCAAAUCCGGGUGGGAAGUCGGUGCGAAAUAGAGGAGAAAAAAAAUCUUUGUCUCCCCUGUUCUCUGUGUGCGCAGGGAAGAAGACGAUGGUGCCGUUUCAAAACGACACCAUUUUGCAUUUUCCUUUUUUAUUUUUUCAAACAGUGCACGAAACGGCGCUGUUUUGGUCAAAACGCGCUGUUUCAUUUAAAAGGAAAAGGCGCCAAAACUUGUCAGAUUCAAAUUCCGGCCCUCCAUUUGCGCGCGUUUUACAAUUUAGUCCUUGGUCUCGGAUUUCUUCAAUUAAGUCUCUAAUUGGCCAUUAAACUUCAAUAUUUAUGCAAUUAAGCCCCUGAUUUGACCAAAUUAACUUCCAAAAAUUUAAAUUUGACCCCAGAAAAUUAAUUUCUCCUAAUUAAAGCCCAAAUUAACUCCAAAAUCAAUUUUUCUUGCAAUUAAAAUCUUUAUAAAUGCAAUUAAACCUUUAAUAAAAUUUAAUUGAGUCCAUAAACUUCUGAUUUUGCAUUUUCUUCCACAAAAUGAAUUUUCUUUAUCAUCGGGGCUCUCAUCAGUCAAUGAUAUACUGUCAAAAAUUAAUUUUUGAUUUUUGAACAUCCUCAAUCAAUUUUUGAGCAUUUUUAGGGCGCUCCGGCAUUUUUUCACUGUUAUAUUUUUUGAUAAUAUAUUUUUUUGAAUUUUUUUGUAUUUUAUUAUUUUUUAUGUGGGGACCCAGAAAUGGGUUACAACAGUUGCCCCCCUCUUUACAAUGCUUACGGAGCAAAGAUUUGUGCAUAGUAAGUGUUGUAAAGAUAAAACAAAAUUGGUUUUCCAAAACGGGUCGUCUCAAACUUUGAUUGACCUAAAACUUCAACCGGACCCAAAGUCCUGUGUGUGGUUGGGCUAAACUGAGAUUCCUUUUGCCAAUCCCCUUUAACCCGAAACUUAAAUAUUAUGUGUGUGUGGUUAGGAUAGACUAAGAUUCCUUUCGGCAAUCCCCUCUAACCAGAACCAAAAUCCUCUGUGGUUGGGAUAGACUGAGAUUCCUUUCGGCAAUCACCUCUAACCUGAACCAAAAUCCUCUGUGUGGUUGGGAUAGACUGAGAUUCCUUUCGGCAAUCCCCUCUAACCAGAACCAAAAUCCUCUGUGUGGUUGGGAUAGACUGAGAUUCCUUUCGGCAAUCCCCUCUAACCAGAACCAAAAUCCUCUGUGUGGUUGGGAUAGAUUGAGAUUCCUUUCGGCAAUCCCCUCUAACCAGAACCAAAAUCCUGUGUGGUUGGGAUAGACUGAGAUUCCUUUCGGCAAUCCCCUCUAACUAGAACCCAAAAACCUGUGUGUGCUUGGGAUAGACUGAGAUUCCUUUCGGCAAUCCCCUUUAACCAGAACCAAAAUCCUGUGUGUGGUUGGGAUAGACUGAGAUUCCUUUCGGCAAUCCCCUCUAACCAGAACCAAAAUCCUGUGUGUGGUUGGGAUAGACUGAGAUUGCUUUCGGCAAUCCCCUCUAACCAGAACCAAAAUCCUGUGUGGUUGGGAUAGACUGAGAUUCCUUUCGGCAAUCCCCUCUAACAAGAACCAAAAUCCUGUGUGUGGUUGGGAUAGACUGAGAUUGCUUUCGGCAAUCCCCUCUAACCAGAACCAAAAUCCUGUGUGGUUGGGAUAGACUGAGAUUCCUUUCGGCAAUCCCCUCUAACAAGAACCAAAAUCCUGUGUGUGGUUGGGAUAGACUGAGAUUGCUUUCGGCAAUCCCCUCUAACCAGAACCAAAAUCCUGUGUGGUUGGGAUAGACUGAGAUUCCUUUCGGCAAUCCCCUCUAACCAUAACCAAAAUCCUGUGUGGUUGGGAUAGACUGAGAUUCCUUUCGGCAAUCCCCUCUAACCAGAACCAAAAUCCUGUGUGUGGUUGGGAUAGACUGAGAUUGCUUUCGGCAAUCCCCUCUAACCAGAACCAAAAUCCUGUGUGGUUGGGAUAGACUGAGAUUCCUUUCGGCAAUCCCCUCUAACCAUAACCAAAAUCCUGUGUGGUUAGGAUAGACUAAGAUUCCUUUCGGCAAUCCCCUCUAACCAGAACCAAAAAUCCUGCGUGUGUAGCUCGGUCAACCUAAAAUCCCAUAUGGAGAUUCCCUGCUACAUGAGAUCCCAUCUGGCAACCUCAUUUAACCAAAACAAAAGAAAAUGUGAAAAAAAAACGGUCUCAUUGUAAUGGGUGACCUACCUAGAUGAAAAAAAGGAAGAGUGGUCGUGUUGUAAUGGGUGACCUACCCACGUGGAGGAAUGGUCUCAUUGUAAUGGGUGGCCUACCAAAAAAAAAACAUGGAGAAAUGGAUGGCGAGGGCUCAAAGGCGCACUCGAAAAGAGGUAGGGUUAGAAAACGCACUACCAAAGGAUGAGGGCUCAAAGGCGCACUCAAAAUAGAGGUGAGGGCUCAAAGGCGCACUCAAAAGGAGGUAGGGUUAGAAAACGCACUACCAAAGGGAUGAGGGCUCAAAGGCGCACUCAAAAGGAGGUAGGGUUAGAAAACGCACUACCCAAGGGAUGAGGGCUCAAAGGCGCACUCAAAAUGGAGGUGAGGGCUCAAAGGCGCACUCAAAAGGAGGUAGGGUUAGAAAACACACUACCCAAGGGAUGAGGGCUCAAAGGCGCACUCAAAAUGGAGGUGAGGGCUCAAAGGCGCACUCAAAAGGAGGUAGGGUUAGAAAACGCACUACCUAAGGGAUGAUGUCGAAACAUUGAUUGUCAAUGUUGAAAAGCAAAUGCAUUAUGAUUGAUAUGCAUGUAUACUUACCUGAGAAAUAUAGGCCCCCAUUUCUUCAUGGUGUCUUUGUUUUCUCUCAAAAGUUGUAGUAUUGGUAGUAAACUUCGAUGGCUUUUCCACGUUUGCUUACUCGGGUUACACAUUGUGAUCUUGACCUCUGGGAAGGGUUUGAUGUCAUCAUACAUCUUUGUCCUUCACCCCUUGAUCUCAAGAGUUACCAAUUUUGCCCGACAUUUUUCUUAGAACAGGAAUCAUGGAGCCAGCCCUACCAUGUGUUUUUGAUUGCCCCCCAGCUUGAUCAUGCCCCCCAAGUGUUCAACUUAGGUUUAGUGUGGGGUGAGGAUAUGUGAAAGUAGGUUUGAGUUUUUUGUACAAUGAAAUGUUUUCAUGCAAAAUAUUUGGAACUUCCAAGUUAUUUCAAAUCACAAAAAUGAUUUUGAUAUUGGUUCAAAAUAAACUUGUUCUCAAAAAUUCAAGCGAUUCCUAUGGACAGGUUUCUUGAAGUGAUAAAAGCUUUUUGCUUUUGGUUUAAAGAUGAAGGUGACAUCUGGUUGGUCACAAAAUGUUUAAAUGUCAAUUUGAGGGUUAUUGAGAACCGAAUUGAUUCAAAACAUUUAUUUUAUUUGCAUGAAUAAUGAUUUGACUCGCACGAGAAAGCACUGCAUACCGAUCCAGAUUGCUUGCCUUUGAUCAAAAAGGGCUUGAUUAGGUACGUAAUGUAGGCUUGAGUUAUUGGUUACAAAGAAAAGGAUAUGUUGCAGGCUCAAAAGGUGUUUAAGGGAUUUCAAGACUAGGGAUCACUUGUGCUCGUUUCCUGACCUUUUGUCUUUUGGAUUUGUUUUUUUUUUUUCAAAUGAGUUCUCCUGCCCCCUAGUGUCGGGUUUGGGCUUUUCUCUUUGUUUUCUUCGUUUUUGUUUGGUUGAGCACAAUCAUAUCAGUUGUUUGUAUAAGAAGCUCAAAUCUUUUAGAUCCUUUAGAUCUUAUUCUUUAACUAAUCAAUGCUUCAUUUAGAUGAUAAUGAAAGAUUAAAAAUUACAUGAUCAAAUCCAGCACCCAUCUUCACUGCUUUGUCUAGAUGGGUAAAAACUCUAUUAUUUUUCCCCCCAGUGUGGGGUGUGAUCCUAGUCAAGGUUAUUUCCAAAAAACAUUACUAGGCUUAAAAUGGGACUGCAACGGAUAUUUUUUUAUCCUUGUGAAAGGAUUAUCAAAGAUGGCAUUUCCUCAUCUCAAACUCAUGCAUUGAGGAUCGAUAGGUCUUGCUUUUGAGUCACCUCAUAGUGUUGUUUAUCUUUGUUGUCUUUUUUUCUUUCAAGUUUUCUAGGUAUAUGUGUACCUAUUUAAGGAAUCACUUGAAAUUUCAAAAUGCAUUUGUUUUGGACAAAUAUCAACACGAUUUUUGUUUUUUUUGUACUCACUUUGGAGGUCCCAAAAAAAUAUCCUUGAAAACAUAUGAGAUUAAUGUAUGGGUUUGGAAGAAAGGAAAACCAAAGGAUUCUUCAUGCUGUAGUGUUGUGAGGAAAGUUGCGCUCAAAAUGUUAUUUACAUGUAAUAACAACAAAGAAGAGUGUAAUGUGAACACAAGAAAACACAUGAUCUUAUUUCACAAGAGAAGCAUAUUAACAGAGAAAGUCUUGUUAAAAAGCAUUAACAAAAGGCAAUAACAAGGCAGGCUUCAUUCCUCUAUUUUGGCGAAUCUGUUCAUAGGCUAACCUCCUCUUAAAAGCUCUGCAUAGAGGACUCAAAGACAAUGCGGAACAACACCAUGGUUAAAAUUUGAGUUCUACAAAAUUCAAGCUAUCAUGCUGGACCAUUGAUGCUUCCCAAAUCCCCAAAACAUUCCAUCCUAAUAUGCUUCAAGCAUGAUUAGGCAGCGGGUUUGUAUUCAUAUUAGGGGUAUCUUCCAAUUUUAUCCACCCAGCCUUAAUUAAUUGCAGAAGCUUUCUCUUGAAGGCGUUGCAGGUAUAGAUGUUAUGCCUAGUAAUACCGGCAUGGUAUUCACAAUUGAGUUCUGGCUUGUACCAAUUAGGAUAAGGUGGUUGCAGAGGUGUUAGAGGUUCUGGAGCUAUUUGCCCGAUGCUCAAUAGCUUUUGAUACAUCUCAUUCAGGGGUAACGGUAGUGGAGGUAAUUGUUCUUGAACCCUUUGGAAAUUUCCAAUUUGGCUUUUGGCUUGAAAGUUUUGGGGUUCAGGUUUUCUGAUGUUGGCAAUUUGGAAUGGAGUAUGGUAAUUUUGGGAUGUAUUUGUUUUGCCCCUGUAGCCAUCUUCAACAUGGUGAACCUCUUUUCUUUUGACGCCUCUUUUCUCGGUUGGUGCAGCAAUUCUACCACUCUUGACACCUUGCUCUAUGCGUUCACACACUAUCACAGCAUCAGUGAAUUGUUGGGCUGAACUACCCAUCAUAUGUUCGUAAUAUGGUGCUUUGAGUGUGUUGGCAAAUAAAGAGACCAUCUUUUUGUCCAGAAGUGGGGGGAUGUACUUGAGCAGCUAAUUCUCGCCAUCUUUGAGCAUAUUCCCUUAUGCUUUCUUUAUCUUUUUUCUCUAUAUUGGACAAACUGGUUCUGUCGGGCGCAAUGUCCAUGUUUUACUUGUAUUGCUUGACGAAAGCAUCCACAAGAUUUUUCCAGUUGGGAAUUUUUGUGUUAUCCAAUCUCAUGUACCAACUCAAAGUUGCCCCACUUAAACUGUCUUGGAAAAAGUGCAUUAGUAGUUUUUCAUCAUGUACUACCUCAGCCAUUUUAUUGCAGUAGGACCUGAGAUGAGUCAUGGGGCAUUGUGUUCCACUGUAUUUGAUGAAUUCAGGAACACGAAAUUUCUUUGGGACAACCACAUUUGGGACCAAACACAUCUCUGCUGCCCGAACCGGGUCAUAUAAGUCUAUCCCUUCAAUGGCUUUAAGUCUGGCUUCCAGCGCCUCUAUCUUAGCUUGAUCAAUGCUAUCAGAUGACUUAGCCUUGUGGGACUCAUUAGCAGAUGCCUUCACUACUGUUGGGGAUGGUGCAGGUGUCGUUGACUGCACAAAUGUUGGAUUUUGCUGAGGUUCUUGACCAUGUUCGCUCAUUCUUUCCUCAAGCUGAACUGUAGUAGGAGCCGGAUCAAAGGUGAUCGGUUGAUUAGAAGGACCUUCAUCAGAGGUAUUUCUUAGUGUUUGCUUGAGUAAGCUAGUGAGGUGAGCCACACUUAUUUUCAGAGACUCCAACUCGUCGUGCAAAUAGGCCUCACAUUGAGCACGCUCUUCAUCUUCCAUGUUUCUUGCUCGAAGUCGGGUGUUGUAGACUUUUUGGGGACCUAUAUUUCAAUCUGCCAUGUAUGCAUGUUAAAUGUAUGAACAUGUAAUUUAUAUGAUAAACUUGCCCUUCGAGGGAUGACAUGAUUUUUUUAUUAUUAUUAUUUUUGUAUGACAUAUUCUGUAAAGAAAGAUAGCGCAUACAAACUAAAGACAGGGUCUAUUCAUGAAUAGGUUUUCUACCUGGUCUCAAAAGGGUCUCAUAUCUGCCUAGUGACGUCCUUCGUAAAGGCAGUAUGAGGGCGUUGCAAAGAACAGUUAAGGCACGUAUGCCCACCAUUACCAAGCAGGCUCUCAGAUAUAAGUUGGGUGUUUCACGCAUCUGAACCCGACCAAUAGUCAUAGGGCAGAUCAUUAAUUCCCCACUUAACUUAAAGGCUUGUGUAUGCUUUGAAAAACAUGUACAGAAAUUAAAGCGUGUAAGAAAAAAAAAUAAAUAAAGGAAAUGCAUAUUUAAAAAUAAACACGCAAACCACAAUAAAAAACACAAUAAUCAGACAAAAACAAAGCUUAGUCCACAAGGUCCCCAGCGGAGUCGCCAUUCUGUCGCACGUGUGCAGCGGCGCGGCGAUCGUCCACCCUCAAGGAAAAAUCGGAAAUAUUUAUUUCUUGCAAAUAGGGAGAGACAAGGAAUUCUUGUCUCUACAAGUGAAAAUAUAGACUGGGAGUCGCCACCUAGUAUUCUGGUUACUAGGAACCUUAACUGGUCUUUAGAGAUCGGGUACGGAGACUGGUUGCGUAAAGGGAAGGUAUUAGCACCCCAACUACGCCCUACCUAAGGUAGGCUGCAUUGUUUUAAUGUCUGAUAAAAUCUAAAAUCAUGUUAUGGUUUUUUAAUUGUUGGUUCGUUUACGGUUUAAGAAAAGUCCUCCUAUGUAAGGAGAUCCUUAUCUUUAUCGGGUAAAAACCUAACUAUUCAAAGUCGUCAAAAGAAAAUAUCUUUUUAAUAUCAGGAAUACGAUUUACGUAUAAAUUCAUAAUCCCUGAUACUAAAAUCAAACAAAAUAAAAUUUUUGUUGUUUUUGAGAUUUUGGCCAAUGUUCUCUUGACUUUAAUAAACUGGUUAUUAAAGCCAAAAUGCAUGCUAAAAUAUUGUUUUUUUGACAUAUGAAAAAUAUGAUAUGAGUUUUUAGAUUUGAGACACUUGGCCGUAUGCACAAAAACAUUUUUUUUAAUCGAUAUUAAGCAAAAUUGAUAAAAAAAAAGGUGCUGAAAAAAAUUGUAAAAAAAAAUAAAAAAAAUUGAAAUGGGCCGGACCCGGCCCAUUUUAGUGGGCUGGGCCAACCCGGCCCAUUACGAAAACUGAGAAGGAGACGGGGCAGCGGGAGGUUACCUGUGGUGGCGUCGAGGCGGUGCUGCUGGUGGCAGCGGAGGCGAUGGUGGUUCUGCGUUUCCCUUCUCUCUCUCUUUUGUUUUUCUUCGUUUUCUUCCCUGCUUCUUCUUCUUCUUCUUCUUCUUCUCUGCCCUCUCUCUUCUCUUCUCUUCUCUUCUCUCUCGGUUCGUCUCCCUCUUCUCUCUCCCUCGGUCUCCCUUUUGUUUUUCUUUUUUUUUCGGUGCCCCUCCCCUGUUUUUAUAGGCAAUGUCGAUCUGAAGAAGGGCGAACCGAUUUGCAGAGAAACAGAUCAAAGAGAAGCAGAUCUGAAAUGAAAAGAAAAAAAUAAAAUAAAAUCGACUGUUUGUGGUGUUUGCUUGGCUUUGCAGGUGACGAUGGUCUUCACCGCCGGUGAGGAGAGGAAGAAGGAGAGAAGCCGAGCUCGACCCACCUCCUGUUUUUCGUUUGAGGCGGCGCGUGAACCCACGCGCCGCCAGUGGCGGUGGAGCGUGGGAGGACGCACCGCCACUAUUCCCGAGCACUGUUUCCGGUGCCCAGAAACCUUCCAGCACUGUUCGGGCUUCCCUACAGUUACUAUAGAUUUUUGGGUUUUUAUUUUGUAAUUUUUGAAAUGUAAUAUUUUUAUUAUAGUAUUGAAUUUUAUUUGUAUUUUGUAAAUAUGGAUGUAAAAGAAAAGAAAAGAAAAGAAAAAGAAAAAAGAAAAGAAACAAAAAUAGUGAAAGUGUAUGUGUGUGUUUGUAUUUGUUUUAUGAAUUUGUUAUUUUGUUUUAUUUAUUUUUUAGGAUAAAAUCGCAAAGGUAAAAGAAGAAUUUAAUAUUUUGAUCGGAUCACGGUUAAGAAUUAUUAACUUAUACGUAAGUGAUAUUUCUAAUUUCCGAUGAAAAGACAAGUAUUAAAACUUCUUUAACACGUCAAAAAUCAUGAAGCAACUUACCUCAGGUAGGGUGCGUUAGGGGUGCUAAUACCUUCCCUAACCACAACCAGUCCCUUACCCGCGAAUCUCUGACAAGACCAGUACAUCCGGUUUCCUAGUAGCCUUCAAUAAAUUACUAGGUGGCGACUCCAACGAACCAAUCAAAGCAACAAACACAACAACGAGAAAAAUCGCUAGCCGAUGCCGCGCGGGAUUUUUAGACGUGCGACAGAAUGGCGACUCCACUGGGGAAGGUACUGUUUCUGACAUUAUUGGACUAAGCUUUGUGUAUUUGAUGUGUUUAAAUUUUUGCAUUUUUAUCUUUUUGUUAAUAUUUUUUUUCCAUGCAUUUUAUAGAAUUGUUUCAUGCAUCACCUGUAUUUAUUUUUGAAAGCACACACAAGCUUCUAGGUUAGGUGGGGAACUAGCGAUCUGCCCUAAGACUAUUGGUCAGGGUUCAGAUGCGUGAAACACCCAACUCAUAUCUGAGUGCCUGCUUGGUAAUGGUGGGUAUACGUGCCUUAACUAUUCCUUGCAACGCCCCCAUACUGUCUUUACGAAGAACGUCACUAGGCAGAUAUGAGACCAGAUAGAAAACCUACCCAUGUUCACAUAAUAAAUAGAACUUGUCCUUAAGUUGUAUGUGCUAUCGUUAUUUGUAUCAGAGCAAACCCUUCUUGAAGCAUCUUGAACUCAAGACUUGUGGGUGACACAUUGGCCGUCACUCCAAAAAUUUUCAUUGUAGAGUUUGGGAAAAAAUCACAAUUUUUGUUCCAUCAUACAAGAGUUACGAACAUAUUGUCACCCCUUGAAGAGCGAGUUCAUCAUAUAGAUUACAUGUUCAUACAUUUAUCAUGCAUGAACCGGGUUGAAAGGUAGGUCCCCUGUACAAGUUGUGCUGCACGUGAUUGAAGAAAGAUGAGGGAAGUGAACAAAGGAGUCAGAUAGAGGCUCAUUAUCAGAUUAAGGUUGAGAGCAUCAAAUUUGAAGUAGCUGGACUCAGAUUUGCCCGAACAAGUGUUGAGCAUCAAAUGGAAAGAGAGUGUCUGCAUAGUCUUCUGUGGGAACACUGCUUGUUCACGACCAAUUGAAGCUGUAUCUCUCCUUUUCCGUCAUGAACAACAACAACAAUGCCUUUAGUCAUCAACUAAUGACAACUCUGGUUCUUGUCCAGUUGCACUGUUAAAUGUUGAUCGCCUCCACAUCAUCUAAUGGAACCAAACAACUACCGGUCUCCUGUACAUGGUGCAUUAGUCUUCUUUGAAGCUACCCCAAUUAUGAGCUCAAUUCCAUUCAGCAGCACAAGAUGUUGGUCUGAAAAACCAUGAUUAGACACUGAACUUCUACGUGGUAGAGCUCUCUCUGUAGAGAUUUAUUUGUGGAUCUGCCAAUGGAAAUGCAAAAGGGAUGUAUUAAAUAUGCUUUGAAACUUUUUCCCAUCAGUGGCACGAGCAAAACAUUAUAGUAGGCAGAGAGUCAGGCCUGAUCUGAAAAUGAGUGGUCGUCGAACUUCAACGUGGCAGAGCUCUCUCUACAAAAAUCUGUUUAUGAUGCUGCAAGUUGAGAGUGCAAGAGGGGAUUUACUAAUUACAUAUGCUACAAAUAUUUGUCUCAACAGUUUCAGCAUGAAGAAACUGUAACAGGUUGAAGAGCCAGACUUGGUUUGAAAAACAUGAGCAUACAUCAAACUUCAAUGUAGCAGAGAUCUCUUGGCAUGAAUCUAUUUGUGGAUAUACAAGUGGGAAAUCCAAGAAGGGAUGCAGUGGUUUCAGAUUGUCCAUAAUUGUUUCCUUCCAAUAUCGGCAUUAAAACGCAAAAGUGGUUAUUUGCUGCACCAUCAGUGAGGAAUCAAAGAGGAAAUAGAAGAUGUUGUAGAUUCAUCGGGUUCUCUUCCAAUUUUGACAAAAGGUGAUUCCACACGCUUUUGUUUUUGUGCGCUGCCGGGAUUACAUAUCUAUUGAGAGGUUUCCAAGAACAACAACAAUAUCAUUGGAAGAUUGACAUGAAGUUGUGUGGAUUGCCAAGAAAGAAUUGAAUAUGUUAUGAAGAGAGGAAAGAUUGAAGGUUUUGUCAUGGAUUUCAGAACAAUGAUGAGAAAUGAAUCAGAAGAUGACUCUGACGGUGGGAAACCUUAAUUAUGUGGUCUAAGCCAAGUCUCGCUGUAUCAUCGACCACUCCAAUGUCUUUGUCAAAGAUAGAAGUUCAUUUGCCAUAUGGUGUAAUCCAGACAACAUAUGCGAUGUGGUGGUGGGGUCCUCGACCAUUUCAAUGGAAUAGUUGCAAGAAUUUCAAUUGCACAGUGGCCAUGUGGGUUUAUUUACCAGAAUUUGCUAGAUUCUAGACUUUUGCUAGACGCCGACAGAUCCCAUGCAACCACCAAUUUCUAGGUGGUAUAAUCCAGAUAAAAGUUGUGAUGUCAUGGUGGGGUCCUCAACCAUUUCAAUUGAACAGUUUCAAGAAUUGAGUCCGAAAGUUGGUGAGCAAGAAACAAGUGGAGUCGGUGAAGGAGGUUGUCAUUGGCUAUAUUGUCCCCCGAACAUCUUCAAAAUGACAUGAUUGAUCGAGAGUGCUUGGCAAAACACAGAUAUAGCCAGAACAACUAAUUCAAGAAUGGUGAUGAACGGCCAAUCAUAUUGUUAUGGAAUUUUGCAUUUUUGUUUUGAGAUCACAUCUCAUCCUUCAACGAAACAUGCCUUGCUUUUGUCUCUUUGUUGUUUUGAAAUCAACAGAUGUUUAACAUUUUUUCUAACAAAAUAUUUUGAUCAAACUCCAACAUGCGAUAAAGGUUAAUCAAUCCUGAAGAUUAAAAGUGUUUUGAUUCCAAAAUGACUUGAUGCUUGUUGAAAUGACAUGAGGUGACCAAACAAAUUUUGAGCUCACAUAAAAUUGAACCACACAUCAUUAACUAAGUUUUAGCAGUAUGCAUAAUGACAUGUAGUGGAUUCGGUAGCUAUGGACUCGUGAAUCAUUGACUCUUAUAAGUCUAAAUCAUUACAAUGGAUGAGGUCAAAAUUUAUCAGUUCUAACCGACCUUGCUUGAAAUGAGAAAAGGCCAUCUUUGUUAUCCUUCCACAUUUCUCGAAAAAUUAUCCUUUGCAGUACCAUUUUGAGCCUGGUGAAAUAUUUUCUUUCAAAAAGAAACCCUGACUAGGAUCACACCCCACACUGGGGGCAAAUGAGAGAUGUUUUGAAGGCAUUGAUAUAAUUAAUGGAUAAAGGGGAAGACUUAGAACAAAAGUCCAAUGAUUGAGAGAGGGCUAAAAGAAACACCUAAACUGGGGGCAUAUAAGAAAAUUUUGAGGAAGGCUAUGAGUUGAAAUUGCCUUCACUUAAAUACAAGUCAAAGAUAAAGGAAGGAGAAUGCCUAUCAAGUCUAGGAAGAGCAAGAGAAAUUUCAAUCAAGAAAAGACACAACAACGUCAUAAUGCAUGUCGCACGUCGAAAAAUUCCGCACGACAUCGACUGGCGAUUUUUUAUUAUUUGUGUUUUGCUUGGUUUGUUGGAGUCACCACCUAGUAUUAUGGUCACUAGGAACCUAAGGUCUGCGAGAAUCUGAGUAAGGGACUGGUUGUGCAAGGGGAAGUCGCAUCACCCCUAGUGCACCCUACCUAAGGCAAGCUGCAUUAUUGUUUGAUUGUUUUUGUAGGUCGAGUUUCUAUUCGCUGGUCUUUUCUAAGGUUCAAGGCAGAUCUCCCCUCGUGAGGAAGUCUCUACCUUAUUCGGUUAAAUCCUAACCAUUCUAAAGUCUUAAUUUUAAAAUUUGCUUUUAUUUACACCUUGUAUUUUUAAUACCCGAGGAUGUACAUUAUCGCGUAAUUUUACACCCCACAAAUAUUAAAGUCUACAUCUGGAUCCUAGAAAAAAAGGUUGGAAAAAGGUUUUUGACAUUUUGGCCAAAUCCUAAUGGACAAUCAUAAUCUGGUUACGAUAUCCAUUUUAAAAAACAUGAAAAAGAUGCAAUUUUUGUUUUUACAAAAAAUAUGCUUGGAAAAAUUUUAGGAUUUGGCCGUAUGCAAUGAAAUAUUUUUUUCUUUUGAAAAUGUUUUUUUUUUUUUUUUUUUGAAAUAUUUCGGAGAAAACCAGGUAUUUUAAUACCGAUUUGUAUUUUACAAUGUAAAUAUACAACGAUAUUGUGCAAAACUUGGUGGAAAAAUAUUUAAGAAAACCACAAAUUUUUAUAUGAUUUUUUGAAUAUUUUUUGAAAUUUUUUUUUUUUUUUUUUUGGGCCGGGCUGGGCCAGAACCGGCCCGGCCCGGCAGUGGCUAAUUAAUUAGCCACUGCAUGCAGAAAUGAAUUCUGCAUGCAGCGGCUACAAGAACGAAGAAAAAAAGGUGGAGCAGGGAGGAGAGAGUUACCUGGCGUGGAGAGAGUCGGCGCCUGGCUGGGGUGCGCGGUUCUGGUGGCGGCGAGGCCGGCGGCGUGCACGGUCCCGGCUGGAAGAAGAAGGAAACGAGUCCUGCAGAGGAGAGGGAAAGCUCACGGCUGGAGCUGUUGGUGUGGCUGAGGAGGGAAAUGCUACCCGGGCUGCUGCUGAUAAGGCAAGCCGCUGGAAAGGGUGGUUGCGCUGCUGUGCUGCUGGGUUGCGGUGGUGGAGAGAAAAAAGUUUUGCAGAGAAAGAGGGGGAGAGAGAGAGGUGUUGCAGGCUUCGGUGAGGUUGCUGAGUGAUGGAUGGGAUGUGGUGUUUCAGGGGAAGGAUGAUGGCGAGAUCAGUGGUGGCAACUAGAGGCCACGGCGGAGAGGAAAAAAAAAGAGAGAGGACUGGUUGCAGGAAAACCGGGCAGGAAAAGCUGAUUUUCGGGCCAACUUUGAGUUCAGUUCUCUCCUCUCUCAGAGCAUUAAAUUGGCCCCUAUUUAUAGGGAUGGAAAGAGGGUAAUCUUGUGUUCAACGGGGAAAAAGUCUCAGCCUUUGAUUCGACUCGAGGAAUCCAAGCCGUUGGUUCAAAGUGUGCACCUCGAACUGCCAAAUUUGGCAAUCCAAGGCUGCAGACUGCCCGAGGGUGCCACUUUGGGCCAAUAAACGGAGUUGUCCCCAAGUUUUUACACCCGACCGGACCACUCUACGAGAUAAAGAUGUUUCAGGGGAACAUGUUGGUGCACGCCUUGUCGGCUUUGGGGGCCAAACGAGUGAGAAAACGCGCCUGGAAAGCAGCCACUCGGGCAGCUUUGUGAGGAAGACGAUGAACAAUACCCGGGCGACGCGUCGACGGGUCCCUUCCCUCCACAAAAACGGCGCCGUUUGGGAUAAAAAUUAGGGAUUCUUGCUGAUUUUCAAUUUAGCCCUCCAGCUUUCAAUUGCUUUCAAUUUGACCCCCGGAUUUUGUCAAUUAGACCCCUAUAGUUUGGCGCCUUUUGCAAGUUGGUCCUUGUCUUUGGAUUUUGUCAAUUUAACCCCUAAUUGACCCCAAAACUUCAAUUUGCUUGCAAUUUGACCCUUGAUUUCAAUCAAUCAACUUGGUAAAAAUUAAAUUUGGUCUCUUAAAAUUCCAAUCUUCUCAAUUAAGCCCAAAUUAAGCUCCCAAACUUAAUUUUUCACCAAUUAAGCCCCAAAUAAAAUUAAUUUGACCCAUUUAAAGUAUAAUUAAGUCCUUGCACUUAAUUAAAUCCUUCAAUUGGACCCAAAUUAAUUCUUAAACAUAAUUAAAAUUCAAUUUGGCCCAUGAUUAAAUCAAAUUGGCCUAUUAAAAAUUUAAUUAUGUCCUUGGACUUAAUUUUCAUGCGAAUUCGUCCAAUAAUCAUUUAAUAUGACCUUGAAUUUGCAUUGUAUUCUUCUAAAAAUUGCAGCUUGAUUUCCCGACCUACCUUCUCCACGUUGUCAGCCUUUAUUUUAUUUUUUGAUUUUUAUUUUGAAAAAAGAAAUUGAUUUUUGGGGAAUAACCCAGAAUUGGGUUAUGACAAUGCAAAUCCUCAUUUCCAUGAUGAAUAACCAACCUUAAUCAUUUGAUAACAUCAUAAUGGUUAUCAAAAGUAAAAAAGACUAAGCUAUAAAAGUGACUUUUGAUAACCAUUAUGAUGUUAUCAGAUGAUUAAGGUUGGUUAUUCAUCAUGGAAAUGAGGAUUUGCAUUAUGACGUUAGUUAUUCAUCAUGGAAAUGUGGAUUUGCAUUAUGACUUAUGUUAAUAGAAGUCUGAUCUUUGAGGUUAACAAGGUUCUAUGUCAUUUCCUCUAUAAAGACAACAAUAGAAAACGAGUUGAUGAAUAAUUGAUGUUGAUCCUAGGUUUUUGAAACCCUCAAACACCUUUUGAGUCUUUGAAAUUCUUUUCUUUCAUAGCCAUAAACCAUAGCCUGCAUUACAUGCUUUUUAAAAGCCCUUUUUAAUCAAGCAAGCAACUUGAACCGAUAAAUGACGCUCUCAAAACUUGAAGAGUUUUUCCAUAAGAGUCGUGGCUUCAUAAAUUAAGUUACUGGUCGUUAUGCAUGUUGAUAAAAUUAUUGCUAAAAAACAAAACAUUUUUCCUUCAUGAAUCCUCAAGUUUUGACUUGAGCCUGUUGUUUUCCUUGAAAUUAACAGAAGGUCACCUCAUCGCAGACCAUCAAAAGAUAUACCUAAAAUCAGAGUUUAAAGUGGACACAAAGAACCAUGGAAAAGACCAUUUUAAUCUUACAACGGGUCGAUUUCUAUUUUCAAAAUACAAGACAAUCGAAGGACUACAUUGAAUGAUGUGUGUUGGGUCUUUGAUCAAAGAAGCUUGAAUUUCAAAAAUACUUUUCAAAAAAAAAACUGAUAUCUCUCUGAUUUCAUCUCAACAACUAGACUUUGAAUAAACAUGAUCUUUGAAAUAUGAGAUUUGAUUCUAGAACAAGAAAGAUUUUCAAACAAGAACAUCGAUGGAGUUUGCAAAAUCCUUGACAAAAAUGACAUCAACAUUUCUCGACACUCCUUGAAACGUUGACCACUUGGGGGCAAUACAAUGGACCUUAGAAAAAAACAAACAACAUUCUGAUCAGCUGGGGGCAAAGAAAGAAUCAGAUGAUGAGUCGUCAAAGUUCAUCAAAGUUAUGUUUAGCAUCUGACAAUGACAAGGAAAAACCUUCUUGAGUAUAAACCGAUGAACGAACCUUCAGAUCAUAUUGGGGGCAAUGUUGUUCAAAGACAAUCCAUGAUCUAGUGCAUUUCAGCAGCAAUUGAUGAGCAACGCUGCACUAGAAUGAUAUUUUCAUAUCUUCAUUUUGGUUUAUCAUCUUCAACAUGGUUAUGACUUUUGAUCGAUGCUAUCACUAGUUGCAUGUGCAUGAAUGCUGGAAGGAUGCACCCACCAAGACUGACUGUGGGACCAUUUGUUUUGAAGCUCAAAUGUACACUUCAUCGCAUGAAUAUGGGUGAUAACAUGAACAUCAUUGAUGAUGCCAAUACAUUUCUUUUCAAGAUCUGAUUAGAUGGAUGAGAAGAACUUUUUGAGGAAAACAUUGAGCUUACAACAAUGAGCCUUUCCCUGCAAAGUAUGAGAUGCAUGUCGGAAUGACGUGGCAGUCCCAUGAUUAUGGAUGACCAUAUAUACUUGAAUGGUGUUUCAACUGGAGGCAGUUUCAGAUUGGUUAACAAUCUUGAUGGGUGUUGGCAUGAUGCACACAAUCAAUCAAAGGAUAAUCCUCGAAAGAAUCUAGGAGAGAAAAUCCUUCAUAAUGAAUCAAGCAGCACCACACUUGGGGGCAGGGUCAAGCUUGAUGAACGAUGCGAGCAAUAAUUGUCGAAGACAGCCCGGGAUGGGCACUGCAUUUACAGCUGAGUGGAUGGCUAGCACAUGAAUGAGCCAAUACAUCGAAAGAAUAAGGAAAGCUUUGGAAUGCAAACAAAGGCACCUUGUGACGAUGAAGCAUCAAAGAGGGGGGAGCCUAUAUUUCAAAUCAGGUAAGGAUGCAUGCAUAUCAUCUAACCUAAAAAAAAAAGAAAAAAAAACAAACCAUUUGCAUAUAUUUUUGAAUUGUUACAGGAAAAUCCUUAAUGAGGUCUAGCAAGAUGGUGGAAAGAGAAAGAAGCAUUGUGGUGAUGAUAAUAAAGAAUCGGUUUUGAUCAUGGAAUAAAAGGAUGAUGGGAUGAACCCUACCAUUAGGAAAAUCCCAAAGAAAUGAAUAGAUCAAUCUUGCAAUCGGGAAGCCUCGAGUUUUCAACCCUUGUAGUCAGGAAAUACCGAUUUUCAAACCCUAUGAUCAGGAAUUAUCAGGAAGCACCAAGUUUUCCAGCCCUUCUUCUGUCAUCCCCUCAGGACUUCGCCAGGUAAGUCCUAUUUUGCACACUUCAUAUUGUUUCUAUUUUGGGUAGGUCACCCAUUACAAUGAGACCACACUUCAUAUUUUUUUUCCAUUUUUGGGUAGGUCACCCAUUAUAAUAAGACCGCACUUCAUAUUCUUUCCAUCUGGGUAGGUCACCCAUCAUAAUGAGACCGUUUUUUUCAUAUUCUUUCCACCUGGGUAGGUCACCCAUUACAAUGAGACCAUUUUUUUUUUACACAUUCUUUUGUUUUGGUUAAAUGAGAUCACCAGAUGGGAUCUCAUGUAGCUUUGGUUAAAGGGAAUCGCAAGAUGGGAUUUCAGGUUAACCGAGUUACACAUAUUUUCGUUCCAGUUGAAUGAGGUCGCCAGAUGGGAUCUCAUGUAGCUUUGGUUAAAGGGAAUCGCCAUAUGGGAUUUCAGGUUAACCGAGUUACACAUAUUUUUGUUCCAGUUGAAUGAGGUCGCCAGAUGGGAUCUCAGGUAGCUUUGGUUAAAGGGAAUCGCUAGAUGGGAUUUCAGGUUAACCGAGUUACACACAGUUUAGUUCCAGUUGAAUGAGGUCGCCAGAUGGGAUCUCAGGUAGCUUUGGUUAAAGGGAAUCACCAGAUGAGAUUUCAGGUUAACCGAGUUACACACAGUUUAGUUCCAGUUGAAUGAGGUCGCCAGAUGGGAUCUCAUGUAGCUUUGGUUAAAGGGAGUCGCCAGAUGGGAUUUCAGGUUAACCGAGUUACGCAUAUUUUGUUCCAAUUGAAUGAGAUCGCCAGAUGGGACCUCAUGUAGCUUUGGUUAAAGGGAAUCGCUAGAUGGGAUUUCAGGUUAACCGAGUUACACAAUAUUUUCGUUCCAGUUGAAUGAGUUCGCUAGAUGGGAUCUCAUUUAGCUUUGGUUAAAGGGAAUCGCUAGAUGGGAUUUCAAUUUAACCGAGCUACACACCAACUUUUGUUCUUGUUAGAUCGCCAGAUGGGAUCUCAGGUAAACCCAAUUAAAAGGGCAGGUCGCCCGGGAAAAUAGACCAAUGUGAGAGUGUGGGCCAAUCGCCCGUGGAAAUAGAUCAGAGUGAGUAUGUGCGGGCAGGUCGCCCGUGAAAAUAGACCAGAGUGAGUAUGGGUGGGCAGGUCACCCGUGAAAAUAGACCAGUGUGAGAGUGUGGGUCGGUCGCCCGUGAAAAUAGACCAGAGUGAGUAUGGGUGGGCAGGUCGCCCGUGAAAAUAGACUAGUGUGAGUGUGUGGGUCGGUCGCCCCUGAAAAUAGACCACUUUGAGUAUGUGUGGGCAGGUCACCUGUGAAAAUAAAUCAGUGUGAGUGUGUGGGCAGGCCGUCCAAGAUAAUGAAAUCAUUUUCCUUUUGUUUUCUUUACAAAGCUUACUAUGCAAAAAAAAAGGAUUUUCGCUUCGUAAGCAUUGUAAAGAGGGGGCAUCUGUUGCUACCCAAAUUUUGACCCAUGUUUUUGAUAUGUUUUUAAAAAAAUUCAAAAAUAGAGAAAAACAAAGAAAAUCCAAAAAAAUAUGUUUUUUUAAUAUAUUUUCGUCAUUUUAGCAUUUUCAACGUCGUCUAAAAAAAGAAUUUAAAUUUUUAAAAAAAUAUUUCCAAACGUGUUCGACUUUUCACGCGUCAUUUUUAAAAUAAUUGAUUUUCCUCAUUGAGUCGGCGUUGAUAUUGCUUGUUUUCAAAAAAAUACAAAAAAAUAAGAAAAAUCAAAAUUUACAAAAAAAAAAGAAGUUGAGGGACCAAGUUGAAAAAACCUAGCAACAUUUUACCUAUAAAUACUGGUUUCCUCAACACAUUCAAAAGGAGGGGGGCAAUUUUGAAAUAUCAGAAAAAGAUACAAAAAAAAAAAAAAAAAACCCUAGGAGCCUAAUUUUUUUCUCCCCUCACGAAGGCAGCCGCCGCCCCCCCCCCCACCUUUUGAUUUUUCUCUUCCCCCUGCAGCCGCUCAACCAAGCCAGCCCCUCACCUUUUUGAAUUUUUCUUCUCCCACAACCGGCAAAACAGCAGCCCCCAGCCGGUUUGAAUUUUCUUCUUCCCCUUAGCAGCCGGAUAACUCACCCCCUCACCUCACACAAACCGGCCGCCAACCACCUCUCCUUUACCCAGAGAAACCCACUGGACACAAGCCUUCUCCAGUUCUCCCCUGGAGCCGCCUCCUCCCCCUUAGCCACGGCCUCCACCGAACUCCAAACUUCCAGCCCGUAGCUGACAGAUCUGCCAUCUUCAACCUGCCGCAGACCGUCCUCUAGUAGCAGCUCCGCCACCCACCAGACCUGCCAAGAGAAGUGAAGACAGAGACCAGCGUCGUCCCCCUUUGCUUUCCCCUCUCAUCGGCCGCCUGCUUCUCCUCCCACGAUCUCUUCAUCUCCAUCGACAACGAAGCCGCCGAACAGACGACAGCAGCAGCAACCCCAACAGCACCGCCCGAAGUAGAGGCUGACCAGGGGCAAAGUCGAUCUGAAGAAGGGCGAACCGAUCUGCAGAGAAACAGAUCAAAGAGAAGCAGAUCUGAAACGAAAAGAAAAAAAUAAAAUAAAACCGAUUGUUUGUGGUGUUUGCUUGGCUUUGCAGGUGACGGUGGUCUUCACCGCCGGUGAGGAGAGGAAGAAGGAGAGAAGCCGAGCUCGACCCACCUCCUUUUUUUUGUUUGCGGCGGCGCGUGAACCCACGCGCCGCCAGUGGUGGUGGCGCGUGGGAGGACGCGCCACCACUGUUCCCGAGCACUGUUUCCGGUGCCCAGAAACCUUCUAGCACUGUUCGGGCUUCCCUGUAGUUAUUGUAGAUUUUUGGGUUUUUAUUUUGUAAUUUUUAAAAUGUAAUAUUUUUAUUUUAGUAUUGAAUUUUAUUUGUAUUUUGUAAAUAUGGAUGUAAAAGAAAAGAAAAGAAAAGAAAAAGAAAAAAGAAAAGAAACAAAAAUAGUGAAAGUGUAUGUGUGUGUUUGUAUUUGUUUUAUGAAUUUGUUAUUUUGUUUUAUUUAUUUAUUAGGAUAAAAUCGCAAAGGUAAAAGAAGAAUUUAAUAUUUUGAUCGGAUCACGCUUAAGAAUUAUUAACUUAUACAUAAGUGAUAUUUCUAAUUUUCGAUGAAAAGACAAUUAUUAAAACUAGGUGGCGACUCCAACGACCAAUCAUAGCAACAAACACAACAACGAGAAAAAUCGCCAGCCGAUGCCGCGCGGGAUUUUCAGACGUGCGACAAACCGAGCUGCACAUAUUUUUUUAUUUUGGUUUAAUGAGGUCGCCAGAUGGGAUCUCAUGUAGCUUUGGUUAAAGGGGAUUGCCAGAUGGGAUUUCAGGUUAACCGAGCUACAUAUAUUUUUUGGUUUUGGUUUAAUGAGGUUGCUAGAUGGGAUCUAAAGUAGCUUUGGUGAAAGGGAAUCGCCAGAUGGGAUUUCAGGUUGACCGAGCUACCCAUAUUUUUUAGUUCUAGUUUAAUGAGGUCACCAGAUGGGAUCUCAGGUGGCUUUGGUUAAAGGGAAUCGCCCGAUGAGAUUUCAGGUUGAUCGAGCUCCACGUAUUUUUUUUAGUUCCAGUUGAAUGAGGUCGCUAGAUGGGAUCUCAUGUGGCUUUGGUUAAAAGGAAUUGCUAGAUGGGAUUUCAGGUUGACCGAGCUACACACAUUCUUUGGUUUUGGUAAAGGAGGUCGCCAGAUGGGAUUCAGGUUAACGGAAAAGAGAGAGAGAGAGAGAGAGAGAGAGAGAGAGAGAGAAAAGACAAGAAAAAGAAACAGGAAAAAAAAAGAGAGUAAGGUCUUUAGAUGAAUGGAUAUUGAGCAAGUUAAGCAGACGGAAAGAUAAGUUUUCUUUACAAAGCUUACUAUGCAAAACAUUGAGGAGUUUUGCUUCGUAAGCAUUGUAAAGAGGGGGCAUCUGUUGCUACCCAAUUUUUUACCCGUGUUUUGAUAAAUUUUCAGAAAAAAAAUCCAAAAAUAGCGAAAAACAUCGAAAAUCCAAAAAAAUAUGUUUUUUAAUAUAUUUUUAUUAUUUUAGCAUUUUCAACGUUGUCUAAAAUGAAUGUAAAUUUUUAAGGGUCUUUCGAACGCGUUCGACUUUUCACGCGUUAUUUUUAAAAUCAUUGAUUUUCCUCAUCAAGUCGACAUUGAUAUUGCUCUUUUUAAAAAAAUACAAAAAAAAUAAGAAAAAAUCAAAAUUUACAAAAAAAAAAGUUGAGGGACCAAGUUUGGAAACCUAGCAAUAUAUUUAUCUAUAAAUAAGAGUUUCCAACACUUGCACAUGGGUGGUAAUUUUGAAUGAAAAAUACAAAAAGAAAAAAAAGAAAACCUAUCUAACCCAAACAUUCACCCCCCACCCGGCUUUGAUUUUUUCUCUGAAACCAGCCGCCCCACUCCCAUUCACAGAUACAAACUAGCCGGCGGCGCCCCCCCUGGAUUUGGUUUCUUCUUCCUUCAGCCAGAGGUCCCCAGUUUCCUUCCCCUGCCAUCUCACCCUCAACCCACUCUCCCAAAACCGGAGCAGCCACUCCGUUCCCCCAAGCCACAUAUCUUUCCUCUCUCACCUGAACACCCACCAGAACCACAAAAGCCAGCCCUCGCCCACUUCCCCUCUCAACCGAACCGUUUCCCCCGUCUCCAUCGACCAGCCUUCCAGAGGCUGCCAUAAAGAGUCUUUCCUUGUCAACUCUAACAUUGUCGUCGUUAUUGUUGACGAUGAUGCUGCUCAACACAAAACGUUGCGGUGCUAGUAUUUCACUGCUGGAAAUGGACGAUGACGUCCCCUUGUACUCCAUAGCUGAUUCCAACUUAGAUUUGGAGUUCAUGAUGGAUUCCGAAAUUAAACAGGAUUCUCCUUGGCUCUCGUCGUGUUGGAGAUGGUGCUCUCAAUCCAGAUAAACAAGCAUUUGGUUGCAGGCGAGAUAAUCGAUAUGCGUGCCUAAAGAUUCUAAUAAUAUGUAAGCUGCGUAUAUUAGAAAUAUUAUUUAAAAAUAAAUAUUUUUAUUUUUAAAAAUAAAAUUUAUCUAUACAAAGAUUAAAAAAUAUAUAUAGAUAAAUCAGAAAAAUUAACCUCCUCAAAAAUUAAAUGUAUAAUUCAAAAAUAACUGUUAUUUCAAAGAGGCUCUCUAAAUAACAUAAAAAAAAGAGGUAUUAAUCUAAAAAUAAAUAAAAUACAUAUAAAAAAUACAUAUAAAAAAGAAUUAAUUUUUAAAAAAAAAACACAAAAAAUAAAAACAAAAACAAAAACAAAAAAAAGGCACUGUUGCACCUAGCAAGCCAGGUAAGCCUGCUUGGCUUAUUUUGUUAGGUUCCAUGCAUGUUGAAAUUUUUUUUUGUUGCAAAUUGUUUAUGAAAAAAAAUAAGAUGAUGCAUCACCUGUGGGAUAUUUUUUCUCUCUUACAAAAACAGUAUACAUGCAUGCUUUUUCGAUGCAUUUUUUACAUAAAAAAAUUAAAAUUUUAAAUUAAAAAGCUAAUGCAUACAUGUAAUCAAAUAAAUCAACAACUAAAUGAAUUAACAAUCGUAAAAAAAAGGUAUUGAUGAUACCUAAAAAUAAAAUUAGAAGAUUCAGAUGUGUUAAUAAACGAAAUAUUUACCCGGAUGUGUUUUUUGAAUUUGUUUAUUAAAAUUAAUAUUUUUAUUCAAUCAAAUAAUAUUAAAAAUAAACACAUAUAUUAAAUUUAUUAAAUAAAAUAAAAGUGAAAAAAAAAAAUUAUGCAAGGCUAUACAUAUUAUGUUAUCCUUAAAUAAAUAUUUUAUAUUUUUAAAAUAAAAUUCUUUUAUACAAAAAGAUAAAAGAAAAAAUUGUUGAUUAAUUAGAAUGAGUUUUUCAAAAAUUAAAUACGAACAACACUAUAAAAAAAUAAUCUCUAUCCAAAAAAAAAAAUCAACAAAAAAAAACCCACAAAUGAGGGAUAUUAAUUAAAACAUAAAUUCUAAAAAAUAUUUAAAAAAAGACACAUAAAAAAUACCAAUAGAAAAAAAUAAUAACAUAAAAAAAAAAUUGUUUGGUUGUUGUGCCUUAACUCGUUAGACUCAUGACCUAAACAAUAAAUUUAACUCAAUUAGGUUCAAUAGUUUUUCCCUUUAAAUAUAUAAUCAACUUGUAACAUAAAAAAAUUAAACCCGUGACCCGGAUCAUAAACUCAACCGGGCUUAAUAUUUUUUUCUAUUAAAUUUUAGAAAAAAAAUAAACCCUUUACCCAGACCAUAAACUCAAUUGGAUUUAAUAAAUUGUUUUCCUUUAAGUUUAUAUUCUACCUCUAAAAAAAAAUUAAAAACAUAAAACACGAUUAAAAAAAAAUUUAUAUCCAAAAUAAAUAAAAAAAUAAAAAAAAAUCACAGAUAAGUGAUAUUAAUUGAAACAUAAAUUUAAAUUAUUUAAAAACAUAUAUUUAUAUAUAAAAAAGACACCAAUAAAAAAAGGUAAUAUUAAAAAAAAAUCCAAUUAUUAUGGCUUAACUCAUUAAAUCCAUGUUUGAAUUUAUAAACUUGAAUUCAAUAUUUUUUCUUUUGAAUUUAUAUUUAACUUUUAAAAAAAAAAAAAUAAAUAAACACGUGAUCCGGAUCUACAUCUGAAACAGGUAAAGUAUAGUGCUGUUGAUCCACGCUAGCAUGGAAUUGAUCUCUUGUGAUGUCAUUUAAUUAAUUUCAUGUAUAGGAAAAUAUGAGCUAACCAGUCAAGCUUUGCCACAUUCCUCACCUUUCUUAGCUGCUUGCUUGUAUAUUUGAUUAGAUAGACAGCAUUAAGAAGAGCUAGCUAAAACUAAGAGGGAUCCGAUGAAGAGCCUUUCCUUUUCAGCUCUAACAUUGUCGUCGUUGUUGUUGACGAUGAUGCUGCUCAACACAAAAAGUUGCGGUGCUAGUAUUUCACUGCCGGAAAUGGAGGGUGACGUCCCCUUGUACUCCAUAGCUGAUUCCAACUUAGAUUUGGAGUUCAUGAUGGAUUCUGAAAUUAACAGGAUUCUUAUUACGAUGCUGUCAACAAAAAUUUUCACAUUUUGAUCAACAAAAAUUAACAGGACUCUUCUGUUUAUCUACAUUCAUCAUAAAAAAUAAAAAUAUCUAACCCGUACGUAGCGACGUAUAUUAAUAGCUGAUCUAGAACACUGUUUAGAACCUUUCGUUUUAGAGCACACUAGUUAAAUGACCCGCGCGAUGCCGCGGGUCAAUUAUUUUUUACAUUUAAAAAAAAAACUAAGAUUUAAAAUUGUUAGGUUUUUUUAUAAAGUUAUACUCAAGAGUUUUAUGUUUAGUUGCAACACCUAACCCAAUAGUAACAUCUAUGAUAUUAAUAAUAAUAUUAAAUUUGCAUGACCCAAAUUUAAGUGGAUUUGGCUGCAAUAUCAGACCCAAUAGUAUUGGAUGUGGGUCUGGUUGCAAGGUCGUAUGAUAAAAGUGUAAUAAUUAAAUUGAUUAAUUAAAAAUAAAAAAACAAAGAAAAAAAACCAAUAGGAAAAAAAAACUAAUGAAGAAAAAGAAAAAAAAUAUGAAUUAACUGGGUUAAACCGUCAAACCUUAGAUUCGCGUCGUAAAAGUUUGAUAACUAAACAGAAAAAAAAAAUUAAUGGGUUAACCCAGAAUUAAUUGGGCUAACUCGUCAAACCAGGUUAACCCGUCAAACCCGGAAUCCGUGUCAUGAAAGUUUGAUAACUAAAUAGUAAAAAAUUUAACAUUAACAGUUUAUUAAACAAAAAAAAUUAAUUAAAAUAAAAAAAUAAAAGACAUCAGCCUUUUCAUUGUGGACUGCACUAUGUAGUCCAUAGUUAAAGACAUAAAAAAAAAAAAAAACUAAAGGCAUCAGCCGAGAACUACAUAGAAAAAAAUUUGAUAUAAAUUAAAUAAAAUUAAUUAAAAAUAAAAAAAACCUCUAUGAAGUAAAAAAAAAAUAGAAAGAAAUUUAACAUUAACAAACUAAACGAAACGAAAAAAAAUAAUUAAAAAAAAAGCAAAAAAAAAAUUCAAGUUAACUCGUCAAACCAGGUUAACCCAUUAAACCCGGGAUCUUUGUCAUGAAUGUCUGAUAACUAAAUAAAAAAAGUGAACGUUAACAAAUUGAACUAAAUGAAAAAAAAUAAUUAAAUAGAAAAAAUCUGAGUUAACUCGUCAAAUCAUGUUAACUCGUUAAACUCAGGAUCUGUGUCAUGAAAGUAUGAUAACUAAAUAAAAAAAAUUAAUAUUAACACACUAAAUUAACUAAAAAAAAUUAUGAAAAUAAAAAAAUAAAAAAAUUGACAGGUCAACCUAGAAUUAACUGGGUUCAUUCGUGAAACCAGGUUAACCCGUUAAACUCAAAAUAUGUGUCAUGAACGCCAGAUAACUAAAUAGAAAUAAAUUUAAUAUUAACAAACUAAACUAAACAAAAUAAAGUAAUUAAAAGGAUAAAAAAAAGUAAAAAAAAUCUGAAUUAACUUGUCAAAACAGAUUAACCCGUUAAAUUCGAAAACGUUUAAUGAAAGUUUAAUAACUAAAUAAAAUAAAUUAAAUAUUAAUAAAGUAAAUUAAUCAAAAAAAAUUUAAAAAGAUAAAAAAAAAAAGCAAAAAAAAAUAAUCCCAAAAUGCAUAAAAAAAUAACACAACUUAAAAAAAAAAAAAAAAAAACUUGUUUUCUUCUACGAAACCCUCACCGCCUAUCCCUAUACUACGUUAACCUAACUGGAGUUAGCGUGGGCCGGAUCAAAGUACCAAUUCCCUCUGAACAACUUGUUUUUGACCCAAAUACCAGAGCAGGGACCAUAAUCGACUCCGGUACAGUCAUAACCCGAUUUGUCCAACCCGUUUACUUUGCCACAGUAAACGUAAGGCCUAGGGAUCAGUGUUUUACUGUGGACUGCACUGUGCAGUCCACAGUAAAACACUGAUCCCUUUUAGUAUAUGUUACAAUUACAAUUACAGUGCCUUUCGUUUUGUCAAGAGAAAUUAAUUGUAUAGUGCUGUUGAUCCACUCAAUUAGAGCAUGAAAGGGAUCUCUCGUGAUGUCAUUUUUUAUGUAUGAGCUAACCAAUCCAGCGUUGCCACAUUCCUCGAUCAUCUUAUCACCUUCAACACCGCCGAUCACUGCCACCCUAUCCCAUAUAUACAGAGUUAGCUGCUCGCUUUUAUCAUAGAUUAGCAUUGAAAGAGCUAGCGAAACAUAAGAGAGAUACUAUGAAGAGUCUUUCCUUGUCCGCUCUAACAUUGUCGUUGUUGUUGACGAUGAUACUGCUCAACACAAAAAGUUGCGGUGCUAGUAUUUCACUGCCGGAAAUGGAGGGUGACGUCCCCUCCUACUCCAUAGCUGAUUCCAUCUUAGAUUUGGAGUUCAUGAUGGAUUCUGAAAUUAACAGGAUUCUUAAUGCCGACUCUCUCAGGAAAGCAUAAGAUGCUGUCCACAAGAAGGGAGCAGUGUUUGGUGACGGCCCACAUCGAUACAGCUUGUUUCGUUGCGGCCGAGGCAACCGAUAUUGCGUUCCUCAUGGUCGUUUUAAAGAGAACUGCAUGUCGGUGUACAAACGCACCUGCUAGUUUCAUUAAUCUACUAGCAGUUAUUCCAUGCCCAUGCGUGAUGGAGGGAGGUCUCUCUCUAAUAUGUACUCUUUUUUUUAGGGAGUUUGUUAAAUUCCCUUACUACUACUGUUAUUAUUAUCUGUUGGAUCGAGUGGGUCUUGUAUUGAACCAUUUAACUCUCAUGCUAGAAUAAAUUCGCGUUAAACUUUAAAUUACGUUAAUUGUGGUCGAGAAUUCAAUCUCGUACCCCUUGUUAUAUAUAUAUAUAUAUAUAUAUGGAUAAGGUUUUGGUUUUGAAUUUCUUUAAUUUUGUCUUUAACUAACCCUUAAACUUUGAUUUGCUUGCAAUUUCACCCCUGAUUUCAUCCGAUUAAUCUUGUAAAAAUUAAGUCUGGUCUUUCAAAAUUUCAAUCUUUUCAAUUAAGCUUUCAAACUUAGUUUUUCAUUAAUUAAGUCCUCGGUAAAAUUAAGUUGACCUAUUAAAAGUUUAAUUAAGUCCUUGCACUUAAUUAAUUCUUUUAAUUUUGAUCUAACUUAAUUUAUAAACUUAAUUCAACAUUUAAUUAGACCUAUGAUUAAAUCAAAUUAACUUAAUAAAAAUCUAAUUAGGUUCUUAGACCUAAUUUUUAUGUAAAUGUUUCCAAUAUUCAUUUAAGUUAGCCUUGAAUUUGCAUUACUUUUCAUAUUUAGAUCUUUAAAGGGUGCAAUUGAGUUUCUAAAAAGUUUCAAAGAUCCAGUUUGGUCCCUCCAUCUCUUAUGUAUACAUGUAGAUCCCUCUUUUUUAUAUUUGUAUAAAAUAAAAGAUAAUUUUGUUUUUAUGCCAGAUUCAGUUCUUAUUUUUUUAUUGUUAUUUUGUUUUGUUUUUCUAAUUUUAGAUUAUUAGAGAUUUUGCUUGGUAUUUUUUAGAGUUUCCAUUCUAUGGUUUAAUCCUAGUCUCAUGACUCAGGUCACUAGUUUUGAAGAUUAGCUCGAUUUAAUUUUGAUAUUUUUUAUGUGCUUUUCUUAAAAUUAAUUAUUUUCCAAUUUUAUCAUUUAACUUUAGGAUAUUGGGCUUUGAGUUUCAUGGUUGUUUUCAUUUUAUUUUUUUAUGGAGUUAUCUUGAUCUCUUAUCCUAGGUCAUAGGUUUGUUGGGUGAACCCAGGUUCAUUCGAGUUUUUUUUCUUAUUUAUUUAUUUUUAUGUUAUCCUUUGACAUUAAGUUAUUGAGUCUUGAGCUUCGUUAUAUUUUCCACUUUCCUUUAUGUGGGUUUCUCUCUAUCUCAUAUCACAGGUCUUAGUCUUUUUAUGAUUUUUUUUAUUCUUUUUUAUUUCAUCAUUUGAAAUUAUAUUAUUGGACCUUGAGAUUUAUGAUUUUUUUUUCAUUUUUCUUUCUAUAGGGUUAUCCUAGGUCGCAGGUUUGUCAAGUUAACACAAGUUGACUUUGGUUUUUUUUUCAAUAUUCCUUUUAUUUUACUUUGGUUUUUAUUUUUCUAUCCCAAUCACAUUUUACGAGUUGCGAGUUAGCCAAGUGAACCUCGGCUGACUCAAUUUGUUUUUUUUAAAUGAUUUGUUAUUUCAAUUUAAUUCUUUGGCAUUAGAUUGUUGGGCUAUCAUCUUAGUGAUUUUUUCACUUUUCUUUAUAUAUGGUUGACCAGACUCACAAGUUUGUCAAGUUAACUCGGGUGGACUUAAUUGUUUUCUUGGCAUUUUAUUUAUUGAUUUAACUUUGGUCCCUUUUUAAGUUUUUUUAAAUUAUUUUUUUAUUAUGAUCUCAUGUCGAGGGUAGCGGGUAUUUGGGUGAGCCCAGGCUGACUCGUGGACGUUUCUAUUUUUGAAUUUUAUUUUUUGAGUUUCAUCUUUUGACAUUAGAUUACGAGGCCUUGAGUUUUAUUUUUUUUUUCGUUUCUUUUCUAUAGCAUUAUCCUAAACUUUUAUCAUGGAUCAUGGGUUAGUCAAGUUAACCAAACUUGACUUCGAUUAUCAUUGCCUGAUUUUUUUUUUUUUCAUAUGUGAUGUAACGUAGGUCACCGUACUAGUAAAAUAAAAGAAAGAAAUGAGUACCAAAUUCUUUUAUUUGUCAUGCAUAUAUAUAUAUAUAUUGGAGAACAUAUUGAUGAUUGACACGACCAAAAGAUUGAUGUCUUCUUCCAAGUGCAGGAGUAUCGAAGUAAUAAAUAACCCGACAAGACUGGGAUCGAACCACAAGGAGGUUAACAAUAUAAAUUAUAAAUAACAACAACAACAAUAACAAUAAUAAUAAGAUAAAGAGAGCUUUGGAAUGUGAUAUUGAUGUAAGGAUUAAACAAGCAUAAAAUAAUUGUCAAGGUUAGAGGAUCCACUAAUGGUACUUCAAACAAGUAUAAUAUAAAUUCUUUUUAUUACUCAACUGGAAACCACACACAAAGGAGGCUCCAAUCGGAUUGUAAAUUGUUAACAUGAUUACAUUAGUUAUCUUAUUCGAAUAAUGCUAAUACUUGUAAAUCUUGUCAAGCAUUCAUGAUUAUAACUUAUGUUAACAACAAAUCAAGUUUCUUUCAUAGCUCAAGUGCCGGUUAUACCAUACAGUAUGGGCUAUGAAAGUGCCAAGUAUUUGUUGUACCAAGUGUUAUACAACAUAAAUCUAGAUUAACCAUUUAACAAGCAAAGUAUUAAAAGUAAACAAGAUAACAAAUAUAAAACAUGUUAGUAUCCAACAUUAAGGUCCAUGUUAAGUUUAUAUUAUACUUAUUCUUACACCAUUAGUGUACCCUUUUCACCUUGACAUAAUUAACUUAGCUAAACAUAAUGAAAGAAAGAAACAUAAAUAAACAAGAUAAGAACAUAAAUGAGAAGAACAUAAAUGAGAAAGGAGUUAACUAAACAAAGGAAAGGAAAUGAAGUGCAUAAACUUCAUAUUAAUGAAAGCAAAACAUAAGCAAUACAAAGAGAGAAAGCAAGAGCAUGAUCUUGAUCUGGAAAACCAAGAUGCCUAAAUGCAUGGCAAAUGCCUCCUUUUAUAGGCCAAAAUUUGGAACUAUUGAUUUGAUGAAUAAUUGUUGAGUGGGUGGCCACAUCUUGACUUGGUGAAAAUCCUUAUCUUCUUGUCUGAAUAAAACGUCAUUGCUAACAUCAGAACUGGAACCAUAUGAAAUCAUGAAAGUUCCAGGAAAUUCUCUUAGCUUUCCAAGAAAAAAAAGAUGAGGUCAUUUGGACUUCUAGAACUCAAGAUAUAGCCUGAACACUGAACAGUGUCUGGGCUGCAGGACAGCUUCGGACUUCUCCGUUGUUGCUAUAAUUUGGACUUAAAAACGGCAUUCUUAGAUCUUGAUGUUCACAUGAAAGUUGUAGACCUAUGUCUCACCAAAUCUGUGUAAAAAUUUGAAAUCAUUUGGACAUCUAGAACUCGAGAUAUGAACCAAAUACCGAAUAGUAUUCCAGUUUGGACUGCACCAACAUCUCUUUUCUAAGCUUCACCCUUCUUUAUCUUCAAAUUUUAGUAGUUGAAUUCAUCAAUCAAUCCUUUGAUUUAUGUGAUAAGCCUGCAUUUAAGAUGAACAUUUACCAUAUAUUAAGGCAUUUUAUAGUAUCACACUUGUUAUUAUAAAACAUACUUUAGUUAAGGAGUUAUUGAUACUUCAAGUGCAAAAUGAUGAUAUAAAACCUUAAUAAACAUGCACUUUUAAGUACUAAUCAAUGAUUAAUAAAAGUAUAAAAUUAGAUUAAUUUAAGUAUUAUUAUUUUAGUUAUAUAAAUAUUACAUAAAUUUUGAUGUCAUUCAUCCACUCCAAAAAAAAAAAACCUAAAAUCUUGGAAGAGAUUAGAAAGGGAGAUAUACAGAGGAGAGGAGAUUAAUCAAAUACUUUGAAAGUGAUCCAAACGAUUGAUGUAAUCGAAUUUGUUGUAAUUAAUAAAGGUUAUGAGCAUUCAGAUCAAUAUAAUAUAUAAUUAAAUUAAAAUUUUAUAUAACUAGAUAGAGAUUUGAACUAAAUACACAAUAUCGAAGGCCUUACAUAUGCUUUUAUGAACCAGUAAGACACGUCUAGAUUUAAGAGGUUUUAUCGCGUUAAAUUGGAUUAACACAUUAAAACUGCAUCUCUUAUCAUAUUGUUGAAUCUUUUAGGAUUAGGAAUCAAGCCUGGAUGUUGUUGUUUGGGUCAAUUUUGUUAUUUUUAAUUUAUUAUUUAAUUUGAUUUUUUAUUUUAAUUUCCUUUGUGCUUUUGGAUUUCUAGUUUUUUUUAAUCUAUGUAUAAGUCUUGUAAACAUCUAAAAAAACAGACUUUAUUGGUUUUAUUUUCAUAUAAAUAAAUUAUAAAUUUAUGCUUCAUAUCUUGAUUCUUUUUCCAAGAUUAAAUUUAUUCUUAUAGUUCUUGCCUGCGUCAACCAUGCUUCGAGUUGGCUAAUUAUUAUUAUUUAUUUCAUAUUAAGUAUAAACAGGUAGUGAAAGGGAAAUUAAGAAUUAUGCAGAAUUGAACAAAAAAAUUAACAUAAGUCAAUUUUUAAAAUAGGAUGCCCACUCCGGCGUGAAAAAUGGAAUAUUAAAGGCAUAUACAUGUUGAUGUUGUUGGCAAAGUUCCAAGCCUUUGGCAAAGUUCAUGGUAUUGUACUUUAUUAUCAAACAAGUAGAUAGAUGAGGAUGAUUUUCGUUAAAAACUCAUUCUAUAAAACUGGGAAAAACAAUUACGAUGCUUAUUUCUUGCAUUGUAACAAAUAUUAUUUUAAAGGAUCCAUAUUUCAAUGUUAUGAUUUUUUACUACUGAAUGAAAAUAUUGAUCUAUUAAUACUAAAUAAACAUAAAGUGAAAACGUUAUUUAUUUUCAAUCAUCAUAAUUAAUAUUCUUUAUCCAACCAGAACCAAAUAUUAAAAAAGAGAAAAAUCAUUGUGAGGGAUAGUAACAAAAGUCAACAUGCAACCAUAAUUUCAAGAUAUUACAAAAUAAUAAUAAAAAAAAAGCUUGGUUUUUCACUAUGCAUACACUCAUAUUUCAUCAUUGUAAAACUAUUAUUUUUCUCUUAAGAGAAAAACUCAUUCUCUAGGUAUAUUAGAUUUAUUAGUUAUUAUCAUUUUGAAUGGGUGUAAGCAAGUUUUUUUACAUGUCAAAUGAAUAGUGUAAUAGCUUACAUACCCUUAAAAGUAUAUAAAAAAAAAAUCAGGAGAAGGAAUUUCUAGUCUUUUUGCACUUUGAAUGCAUAGUGAAAGAACCAUUUUGUCUUUGUAAGAGAACUCAUGUUUAGGGGCACUUAAGGCCUUUUCAACAUGGUUAUUUUAUAUAUAUAUAUAUAUAUAUAUAUAUAUAUCUUUUUGGAUGGGAGGAAAUUAAGUUUUGAGCAUAUAUAAAAUUAAUUUUAAAAAAGGUGAUUGGUGUAUGUCAUGCACGUUCCAGCAAUUAAGAGACAUUCACGUUUUUUAAACGACGCGUGUAGCACUUCCAAUAAUCAAAUGUUGUUGUCCGUUACAGUAACUGAAGCAGAGCAUCAUUCUUUUUGCAAUGGUAGGGCACAUGUUCAUGAUGGAAAUGAGGGCUCCAAUGAAUUUUAUUUUUUAUCCUCUCUCUUUUCUUUUUCCUAACCUCAAAGGUCAAAGGCAACAAAUUGAUUCGCAGAACUGGAAGGCCAGAAGUUUAAGCCCCAUGGAGGGACCAUCAAGGGCAGCUAAAUCUUCCUUGGAAUGUGGCUUUUCUUUUACUUGCAGUCGACAAACAAGUGAAUUUAUGUCUGUCACAAUGAAAAUAAAUGCAUUGCUGAUUGAAACCAGAGAGAACGAAACUUUCCCAAUUAUUCUCAAAAAAGUUGAAUUUACCCAAAUCAGUACAAACAAAAAUAUUUUGUUUCAUACAUAUGACCAAAUACUAAAAUGUUUUCCAUGCAUAUUUUCAUUAAAAUUUUUGGUUUUUUCUCAUGUUUUAAAAUGUAAAUUGGAUAUUGUAACCAGUUUAUGAUUAUCUAUUAGGAUUUAGCCAACAUGUCAAAAUUAGCCUCCUUACAAAUCAUUUUUUUUAGGGAUUUUGAUGUAGAAUUUAGUAUCUGAAAGUGUAAAACUGUACAGUAAAGUACACUCUCAAGAACUAAAGAUACAAGGUGUAAAAUAAAUGCGAUAUUAAAAUUUUAAAUUUUAAAAUGAUUAGAAUUUAAGCUCAUAAAAUAAAGAUACAAGGUGUGGAGACUAAAUUACACAUUUUUAGUAUCCUAUGUUCAUAGUGAUAAGAGUGGUGAUGUUGCGGCUGAGUGGCCAACUAACAUGAAAAAUUGGUUCCAGUUAAUGCUGAAUAUGCAGAGUACUGCAAUAAAAUCAUUCUAUCAGACACACUAAUUAUCACUACCAAAAUUAUUCAAACAAGGAACGCAUAUAUAUGCAUCGAUAGGUAUUUCAGCUAGAAACCUUUGUCUUGAGGCCUAUACUAACGCAGCAUGCUAACUAGCUUGCUUCUCAUCGCCCCUUUGGGUUCAUGAUCUCGGAGAACACAGCACCAGACAUCAUUUUCUCCGACUCGUUGCUUAGAAAACUUUGUCCGUCGCUGCUGCUUGUUGUUGCCAUUUCCAAAAUGCGGGAAUUCACAACUAGUUCACUGCCAGUACUAAACAAAUCACUGCUGUCAUCGAUUGAGGAGCCUUUCAGAGGAGUCUCCAUGUCAACUUCUUUCUCAGUUUGAGCCACUUUGACAUUCUCUUCCGCGCUCUCUUGCAGUUGUAAUGCAAACUCAAGGCCCCAAACCACAUCCGUCAUCGAUGGCCUUUCGAUUCCAUUCUCGAGCAAGCAUCUCACUGCAACAUCAACAAAGUUUUUCAGACAAUCUGGUGAGAUCUUUCCAUCCAGAUACGG
rnacentral:lncRNA from 1 species